UUUUUUUUUUUUUUUUUUUUUUUUUUUGUUCUUUUUCCAAAUUGGCAUAGUUUCUUAUGAAUCUCUUAUAUCAGGAUUCGAAACAUUGCACCAUAAGAUAAUAAGAGGUCAGAACCAAAUCAUGAGAAAUUAGGGUUAAAAAAAAGCACAUUUGCAAUAUAUUUGAGAGUUUAUAGGAAAAUCCAUCCUGACUUUUGUGCCUGCAUUAGUUUAAGAAAGGCAAAAGAAACACUCACAUAAGAAAUCUGCAACUGUUCUACCAUUGGUGAAUCUUCCAGUAGGGCGGUGAAAGAAAGUUGAACCAUAAGGUGGAAAAUCAGCUUGAGCAGCACAGUACUUGUUAUAGUGAUUGUUUCCGGCAUCAAAAAUUGAGUCUCCAAAUACGUAGAUUGAUGAUACCUUGUAUCCUAAAACAGAUGACAAAAAGUUUAGGAGGAGAAAGAAUAUGAGGGUUUUCUCCAUCAGGGCUUAUGUGAGUAAUGCGCUAGAGAAAAAGGAUGAUGUGAAUUUAUCUGACUAGAAAGAGAGGAGAAGAAAACAAGGAGAGUGAUGAAAUGAAACGGAAAGCACGAGCUCAGGCCAUGCAUGAUGAGCAUCAUCAUUCAUCACUUUCUGAUCAAAAACAGCUAGCCAAAACUGUUACUUGCCACCAGAAAAAUUUGUCUUUUUCUGCAAAAAAUAGUUCUAUUUAUCUGCUGUUUUUUGCAUUUAAAGUUGUGAACUUGAGAUGAAAUGCAUGCUGCAAAGGAAAAUUUUUUUCCAGUAGACAUUUGACUUUCUCAAAUGUAUUUGCGUUACUUUUGAAAAUCCUGUACAUCCCCUUUAGCCAUGGUUUUCCUUUUUUCUAACUUAUUGAAUUUUUGUUUAACUAAAAUUGCAAAAGCAAGUCUUCUUUUCCCCAAAAUGAACAGAGACUAUAACUAUAUGGAGACCAACAAGAAAAGAAUAUAAGCACACAUGAAGAGAGCUCCUUGAUAUGUAGAUAGUAAACAAAUUUUAUGCAAAAUUUCGCGGCCUUGAUCCUUUUAUUUUAGAGAUGUGUACUCAUUGUUUUCUUGGAAUGUCCAACAAUCUUUUCUAUUUAAAAUUGGGAUGGGAAAAGAGAAACUAAAAACAGGAGGGGAAGUGGUAAAGGCCUGUUUUUUUUUUCAUGAUGAAGUAGAAAGCGUCAUAAUGAGUUCUCUCAAGUUAUUUCUCAUCUAAAAGACUUCAAAUUUACAUAAGUUUUGGACAUCCUGAAAAACAAUGCAAGCUAGAAGGACAAACAACUAAUUUGUAAAAGAAUGAUGAGGCAAACCAAUUGUUAAUAAUCAUAAUUACUUAUUAGUGGUAUGCUUCGAGUUCAUCAGAAGCCAUUUUUCAGCAUAGACAUUAUACAAGUCUACUUAUGAUAGAAUACUUAUUACUUAGUUGCUGUCUAAAUACUACAAGAAAUUCUUGAUUCAGGUAGGACACUUUGAGUAAUUACUAUUACUUAUGUGGGAGUUUUAAUCAUGCAAAAUACAAGUCACAAAAAGUAAAUUUGGUCACAGUAGAAACUGGAGAUUGACAUCUUAUGCCUGAAGAAAUUACUUCUGGAUGGAAAAAUUUUAUCAUCUUUUUGGAUGAAAAUUAACUAUCAAUUUGACAGUUAGAGGCAGGAGCAAAUUGCAAAUAUAAUGGAUUAAUAGGGCCAAAUGCAACUUGCCCUUUAAUUACAAGGUGUUUAGCGUAAUUGAGCCAUUCUUUCGUAGGUUGUAUAACUUGUAUUCAUAAUUUUAGCGCUCCCUGCUCCCUUGCUGGUUGCUGCAUUGACCGCCUCAGACCCCCAACAAAAAAGAAAAAAUCGCAGUUGAUUUCUUCGCGGAAAUCAGUGAAAUGAACAGAGAAAUAGAAGAAAUCCAAGAAGAUUUAUUAGCAAAGGCAGCAAAAGCAGCUGAUGAGCUCUAUAACAUUCGGGACACCUACUUUCCUGCGGACCCAAAUGACAAAAUAUCCAAAUUGCAAGCUGAAUCGGAUCUUGUCCUGCAAACCCUCAAUUCCAUUCCUCCAGGUAGAAACAUGUACUUGUGCAUUACAAAUUUAGCAAAUUAGUAAAAAAGUUUCAUUUUUGUUAUUGGGUUUAAGAGAUUUUCCUUUCUGGAUUGAUGUGCAGAAAACAGGAAAUUGCCAAUUCAACGUGCAAUGUACGAGUACUUGAAAGGGAAAGUAUUGGAUGUCUUCUCUGAUUAUAGGAAAGAUGCUGAGGAUCAUCUCUCAAAAGCAGUGAGUAUAAAAGAAUUGAUUUGUAUCAAAUGGGUCUUUGUUUCUAUUUUUGUCUAUUUUUAAUUGAAUUGUUUGAUUUUGCUGAAAUUGAUGGUUUUUUUUUUUUAAUUUUAACUAUUUUUGGUGCUAAAGGUUAAGUUGAAUCCAUCUCUUGGAGAUGCAUGGUUGAGUUUAGGCAACUGUAUUUGGAAGAAGGGAGAUUUAUCUGCGGCUAAGAAUUGUUUUAUGCUUGCUUUAAGCAAGGUCAUUUCUUGUUUUAUUCUUUGAAAACUUUGUUCAUUUUAUUAGUAGUAUGUUAAGUCAUGCAGUGAUGUAAGUUAGCUAGUUGAUGAUAUGAGACUGAUGUUGUUUCUGUCCAGGGCCCCAACAAAAGGAUACUCUGUCAAUUAUCUAUGCUCGAAAGGAAAAUGGCUCAAGGCAAGAAUUUUAUGGAUAUUGCUCUAGUUCUUUUCCAUGUAAUUUUGCUCAUUCUUUGACUGUCUUCCUUUGAGAGAUGGGGGAAUCCAUGAAUGAAUGACUGGAGUAAUAGUAUGGUGAAGCUGAAGGACGUGCCAAAUUGUAAAUGUGAAUUUAUAGCUGUUGAAAGUCAGAGAUCCUUACUUUAGAAUCUAGCGUAGUAAGAUUUUGAGUAUUACUUGAGGUAGGUUAUCAUGGUUUUUGAAAAUUUUGAGCUUAUCCAAGCGAUUAGGGAAAUGUGGCUAGCCAGAUAUCCUUAGUCAUGGAGCGUGACUCAUAUGUUGGUUCUGGCUUUGUUGCACUGUGACCUCGAUGAAUAACUGUUCUCUUUGAGACUUUGACUGCUAAAUUUCCUAUAUCUUUUGUCACAAUAGAUAUCUUUGCCCAGCUAAACGUAACACUGAUCAAAUCAUUUAUCACGUAUUGCCUUUUCGAUUUUGGGAAAGAGUAAAAAAAAAGAGGGUUGAAACACCAUGGCAUGUUCAAGCUUCUUUGCUGCUUUGGUCCACUACACAGCAGAAAAUAUUCUCUGGACCUCCUGCAGUGAUAUGAUCUUAGAUGGUUGAAGCUUCAAGUUCCGCACUUCUCUGGUAGUUUAUUCUGAUUCUCUGUAAAUCCAUUGUGGCCUUUUCAUCGAGGAUUAUCAUGGAUAUGCUUUAAUAACUUUAAUAUGAGGAGAUAAUUUUUAUCUAUACUGUUACACAGCUGUUACUCAUAGAAGAACUAGAUAUGUUAUGAUGCCUCUAUUCAAAUAGACUGAAAAACAGUAACAACUUUAAAUAUCCUAAUGGCAGUUUCAACUCUGACAUCUCCAUGUCUUUAUCCAAAUUUCACCAUACAAGCCUUAUUGACAACACAACUCCACUUUUUCCUGAUACUCUUUGCUGCUCAUAUGUAUCCCUGCUUACAAUUCGUAAAAAUACUAGAGUUGAAUUUAGCUGAUGACUUCUUGUGCUAUUCUGCUCAUCAGAUUCAUUAUCCACUUUCCAGGUACUGAAAAACAGGCAGAAAUUGUUGAAGAGAGCAUUAAACAUGCAAGGGAAGCUAUUGCUCUUGAUGUCAGGGAUGGAAAUUCCUGGUGUGAGUUUCUAUUAUAAGUCAAAUUCUUCUGUACUUCCUUUUCUAAUUUAUUAGUUAAAGAUCUGGUGUAGGGUAUUCGCAUUGCUUGGCAGAGCGCAUGCUUUAAUUUGAGCAUUUGUUUGUGAAACUGAAUGUUAGCUGUAAAACCUGCCUACUGACAACUAGAGUAGUCCUUGUCUUCUCACUUAACAUUCCAAAUCAACAUGCAUGCUUGUGUGGACUCUGGCAUCAGUGAAUGGUUAGGACUGAAAAGUGUUGAUUCAGCCUUCAUCUGAAGCAAAGAUCUGGAGACAUGGGAGAGUAUUACCAACUUCUAAUGCUGAGAUUUUGCAUAAUGAUAACUUUAACCCUUCAAUUCCUGUCCAUCUAUCGUGUGUUUAAUAUGCUUUGUGCUUGAUAAUGUUGACAUUUGAUAUACAAGAUGGCCUUUUUAUGCUUAUUCAAGUCAUAUGCAAUAUUAUUGUCUGAUGUUGACAGGAGACUUGAUGCAUUCUUGAAGAGUCUCUAAGACAUGCUGUGGGUGUAAUCAACAUACUCAUUGUUCUCACCUACCAACCCUUAAAAAGUAGAACUAAAAAGAAAAGGGAGACUUAAGAUGGUAAAAGCUAGAAACACAUGGUACUGAUAGAUUUCCUUUUAUUUCAGGAUUAUGGGUACCUUGUUGUUGAGAGACCAAGAAUAAUCAUGCCUAUCUACCAGACAUUUUGAGCAUACAGCAGUUCUAUGGCUAAUAGUUACAUAUAUUGUUUCAUGUUUUCAUCUUUGGCAGAUAACCUAGGGAAUGCAUGCCUAACCUCUUUUUUUGUUACCGGAGCAUGGGAUCACAGUAAACUUCUGCAGUCACUGAAAGCAUAUCAAAAUGCUGUAUGUAUGAGAUAAUAACUUAUACAUCCUCCGCGUGAUGUAUUUCUACCCUCUGAAUUGUUAUUAAGCCUGUAAAAUAUUUCCAUUCUGCAUAUCAGGAGAGAGAUGAGACAAUGAAAUCCAGUCCAGACCUGUAUUUCAAUUGUGCUACUGUAAGUAUUUGUUCAACACUUUAAAUCUUUGCUUUUCUUUAAGUUUGUGUGAUUCUUUUUGUGCUUUCUAGCUUUUUUUUUUUUAUAAUAAUCUAUAAAAGUUACACACAGGACCUAAUUGAAUGAAUAAUUAUAGCUGUGAUUCUCAAACUUUAACUGACAAGUUUCAUGAAUUAUGCGGAGGACAGAAAGUAGUACUCGCUUUGUAUUAGCAUUAAAGAUGCUUUUCAAAAUUCCAUGUUUUUGUGUAAGGUAGCUCAUCUUGCUUGGUUUCGAGAUCUUAUUCCAGCUUUGCCCAAAACAUUGUCAUUUUUAAGUCAUCUAUGUCUUUUAAGUUCCGAAAAUGUUUGUAGUGGGUGUGAUUUCAAGCUUUGAUGAGAUGAAACUUUUGAUUCUUGGAGAGGUUAUAACACGCGGAGUGACGAACCCCAAAGUUGAUUGUUAUUUGCAUCUUGUGCAAUAGUAAGAUUCCUUUGGGGUCCCAUGUGGUCAGUUUUGCUCCUUUAAAGACCUCAUUUGUGGGUAACUUUGGAAGUACGCAAGGAAAAAAUUAGUGAUUCGAUUUUUGGGUAGUCAAAAAGGAUGUCAUUUGGAAGUUACAAACCAAAGUUUUGAGCUUUUGUAUUAACCUGCAGUAGCCAUGAUGUUAAUGGUCAGCUAACUAGCUGUCUUGGAGAGAGGAAAACAAAAUACUGAAGUAAUGGAACAAAGCCAGUGAAGAUGCAUCAGUUUCACAAAAAAUUAGAAGUUGACAGUCAGAGAGGAAAGCUUUAGUUUACUAGUUUAGACAACCUCUGGAUCAAAUUUUGGCCCUCUGAUACCUUUUUGUGUAAAAAAGGGCUAUGUAAUCACAAUAUUGACCAUAUUCUUGAGUUCUGUUUACCAAGGAUCAGCCAUCAGUGGUAUCAAGUAUGUACUCUUAAAACUCAUGCUUUAGUCCAUACUCCAGCUAACUUUAAUUCCAGAAUCAUUUAGUUUUUGGCUUGAACAAUGUCUAGACACAUAGCUGGGAGAUCUCAUCAGAAAACAGUUUGGCAUAUUUUUAACUGUUUUUGUUGUUCAUUUCCUCAGCUUGUAAUUGUUUUGACCAAGAAGUUUAAUGCUUUUACAAAUUAUUUUCAUUCGAAUGAAAUUCCGUGAAUACUUAUUUCUUUCUGUUAUCAUUUAAUUUACCAGUUAAAAUUAAAAUGAAAUUUUGUUAGGAGGCUUCUAUUGAAGUUAAAAUUGCUUUUACAUUCAUGAAUUUCCCCUGCAGUGUACAAUAUCUGCAGAUGUGGAACGUGUUUGAACUUCCACUGGGUCUAGUUAAACUGAAUCUAUUCUUCACUCUGCUUUUGUAUGCUUGUAAAAUUUGAAUCUGUAUUCUUUCAUUGUAAAAUGCAUUUGAAUUCAUUACUUGCAUCUGCUUUGCUUCUUUAUAAUGUAGAUGCUAAGAAGGAAUCAGUGUUUGACAUGGCUGAGAAUUAUUCAUUCAGGUGAACAAAUAUUUAGAGAACUAUGAGAGAGCCCUUACUGGAUUUGAAGCGGCUGCCUUGAAGGAUCCUGGCUUAAAUGCCACGGAGGAAGUUGAGAAGAUAGUUCAUCUUCUUGACAAAUUGGAGAGUUUGCUAAAGGUUAGUUGUUUGUCUCCAUGAGGUAUAAUAAAUAUUUGGACCACAUUGAUGCUGCUCAAAUAAACCUCAUUUCCUCUUGCUUAUAACACUGUUGGUUUGCUUGUAUUUAAAUAUUUUACAAUUUCCUGAUGAGUGAAAAGAAGAAGAAAAUUUUAGAAGCUAAGGAAGAAAUUAAAAUCUGCUCAAAAUGAUUAAGCUUUGAGUUGAUCAAAAAUUAGUUAUGGAAAGAAGUCUAAAUUAUCAGUUGAUGAUAGUAUUGAUUCCGAAGGAGCUUGAUCAUAAUGAUGAUAACGUAUCUAGCCAGUAAUGUCAAAUGUGGAUAGAUUAAUAAUGAAAAUUCUAGUGUUCGUUUCUUGCAAUUAGUUCCAUUCAGUGAUUAUAAAUAUGCUUGUUUAGUAGAAUAGAACGUGGAGUCUUUGCACCAUGAAAUUGGAAGUAUUUUGUCAUGCUGAUAAUUGCUACUUUUUCUCUCUUUAUAUCCCACAUGCAUACUGCGCAAGUGAAUUAUCAAGUUCAACUGGGUACAUGGGUCAGAACAAGAAUACCUGUAUGUAGAUUUGAACAAAGCUAGUGCCACCAAUAAAUAAGAUGGAUAUGUUUAUAUACAGAGAAGAGUAGGGGCUGGAUUUAGCAGACGCUAGUUGGAGCAUGGUUUGUGUUUGAAGUUAAGCAUUAUUAUCUUAAGAAAUCCAUCUUUGACUACUUGCUGGGAAAAUUUUAUAUCCGCAAUAUACCUAGGGUGGAUCGUAGAGUAAUCUGGUUGUUCCAGAAUGCUCAUUUCCCCUACAAGGGGCAAACUUGGUAAGGGCCAAAUAGUAGGCUUAGCCUAUAGGACCAGAGCACACAGUAAACAAUUUGAUCAAUCACACCACCGUCAGGUUUGACAGUCAUUUUUAUUUAUGAUUAUAAUUCUUGUUGAUCUAAGCAUUUGGCAUGAAUUCUAAAUAUUAUUUGUGACGCUCAAAAUGAUAACAAUGUAACUGUGGUUUGUUCAUUUUUAUGCUCUAUUAGAACAGAUAGCUGAGCAUUGCAUUUUGAGGCAUGCAGACAUUUCCAAUUCUAAUAUGUUUUUGUUUUAUAGGGACAAACUAAGGCUAAGCGACUUGCUUCAUUGGCGUCAUCACUUUCCACUGUAAAUGGUAUGCCAGAAUACUGAUUCUACACAUGUCCUGAAAAAAAUGUUUGUUCAACAUGUUUACGUGAUGACAGAACAUGCUUGAAGUUGCAACUUGAUACAUGCAAUUUCAAUCAUUUGUUGUCUCCUGUGAUUAAUCCAUGUUAAUUUUUUUUAUUUUCCUAUCUGUAGUAAAUCCUUCAUAUAUUCAAGUCAGUGUGGAUCGUCUAGCAGAAGGUUUAAAUAAAGGGGUUGCCGUCGUGGGAAAGGUUCUAUACUUUAUUAAACACCAAAACGUGGCUCCAUUGUGAGUACUUAGCUAGUUUACUUCUCUCCAACUAUUUUGCAUAACAGUUGAGUUGCCACACAGUUUCACUUUGAAUUGCACCAUCCACAUGUUUACGUUCAAAAGCAUGCCAUUUUUUUUUUUUUUUUUUUCCGUUUCUGAGAUGUAUUAUAUUGCAGAUACUAUUUGCUGUGUGAUGCAAAUCAAAUAUGCUAUGUGUUAUCAGUCUAUGGGAUACGUGAUGAUGUGGUAAGUUUUGCCUGGCAAUGAUGAAAGCAUCUUUAUAAAGGAAAAAGUUGAUAUUUCACUUGAGUUACAUUUUUCCCUACUGAAAGAAGCCUAAUAAUUUGUCAUGUGAAUAAUGUUUCUAAAUUUCCCGAACAGCCUUAAUUUCUUUGUUUGUUUAAUUUUCUUUGGCUUGUGGUUUGAGUUGAAAGGGGUAGACAAGAAAAAAGGAUGGCUCUACUUGAUUCAUUCCCUCUGUGGUCUCUCUUAAAGUUAUAGGAAAUAUUGUCACAGAUUUUAAUCCAUGAAUUAUGUUUAUUCAAAACAAAUUAGGGAUGCUUACAACCAAGAAUGCAUUGUCCUUGCUAGUUUUCCCUUUCACCAUGUGGUUGAUUAUGACUCACCUGCAGGCCAAUGAAGUUAACCCUCUGAAGUUAUUAAAGAAACUCCCCCUCCCCAUUCUGCCUCUGUCUGUGUCUCUCACUCACGUGUAGGAUGGAAAGUUUCCAGCCAUGCUCUCCUUGUUUCACAUGAUCCCAAUCCCAUAUUCAUCUAAUGAUAUGUUCAUUGCAGGUUAAAGAAGGAGACCAGAUCAUACUGCUGAGUCCCUAUUUCCAUAAUGUUGAUUUCUCUUGGAAUGGAAAGGUGUGCUCUUGACACUUUUUGUCACCAAAAUCAAUCCAUUUCUCAUCAUCAUUUGAUUUUGGAAAAACAUUCACGUUUCCUUUCUACAGCAAUGAAAAGACUGAUUCUGCUAAUAUCAUCAAUAAUGAUAUUGUCUCAGUAGCUAGUAAAGUUGGUCGUAUAAAAUAAUUACCAUUUGUAUGGUUGAUUUUGUAUCAGGUCUACCAGUUCAAAUCAGUACGUGUAGACUUCUUGGAGCAAAUGCUUGUUAAUGGAAAAGCUUUGUCUCAUAGCCAUGCAGUUCGAGCAUCGAUCUAUGCACAACAUAAGCCUUGAGAUUGCUUUUCAUUAUUGUUGUGGAUGUUACAUGUGUGAUUUAUAGUGGAAGUCAAGAUAAUCCUGCCGCGAACGAUGUGUCUUUUGUAUAUAGAACUGCAGCACAGAGUAAAGAAAUUUGCGCAUGUAACAUCGUGAAUUCUUCUCUCUUGUAUCCGUUUUGAGUCCUUGAAUUUGUAACCAUGACAUGAACCAAAGGAAAGUGGUAAAGAGAGAACAUGAAGGAAGAAAGCGAGGCCAGUGGUUCAUGAUUGCAGGGUCUGUGCUGCGAUUAUUGAUGAUGAAUAUGUACAAAUUGCAAAGGGGAGAGGUGGCAUUUUUUUUUUUACCUUAAAACUUUUUAUAUUUAGCUGCAAAGAGGUUUUUUUCCCCUAUUUUCUUCCAAUUGGCCACUAUGACUCUUUGGGCAGGCCCAAAUUCCCACACCUUCCAAUUCAAAAAAUUCAGUCCGAUCUAGGUGGGCCUUUUUCUAGUCUCACAUAAUCGAGUUAGGUCCUCUAUCCAUGACUAUAGUUGUUGUCAUUUGUAAAUAAAAAAUUUAAUCUCGUCCAUUAAAAGUAGGCAGUAAAAGAAUGUGGAAAACUAUGGUAUGUAAAUAGUAAGUCAAUAGAGCUGGGGAGGGAUGGGUUGGGUGAUUUAGCAGAAGAAGUAUAAGUGAGAGUUUUCUAAUAGUACACCACGGCUUCACAUCUUCACAACUCAACUCAUUUUGGGUCUUCUUGUUAUUUGAGGAAGAAAUUAAUAAGUUAUUACGUGACAAACUAUAUUAUUAAUUAGGACCUCUGCGGUAUAUGCAUGCAUUUGACGUCUUUUUCACCAAAACAUUAAAAAAAAAAAAAAAAAAGGCACAACGCGAGUGAUUGAAACAUACGCUUGACACGAUUUUCACGGGGUUGUUUGGUGUAUCUGCUUUAGUUUCUGAUUAAGAAUGCUGAUUCUUCAUUAUAAUAAUGCCUGUCAUCAAAAGGACUUAAAAUAAAUCGACUGUACUAAGCCAUGAUAAGGGAAGAGAGAUAGAUCGAUAGAUAGGGAAAAUGGCUGAAGCAUGUGCCAUGAAGGGAGGAGAUGGACCUCAAAGCUACGCCCAAAACUCAUCCUAUCACAUAGCAAGUUUUCUUUUGUGGGUCUUUCUCACUUUUAACUUUUCUGGGAAAAUGUAUUUUUUUUCUAUUUAUAUUCACUUGGUUUAUAAUUGACAAAAGAUUUUAAUGCUAAGGCCUCUAUUGUUUCAAGCCUUUGUUAGACUAGAAUCGUUUAAAGGUAUUGCAGAUAAAGCUCAUUAGACGUGCCUUAAGGCGUGCAGAUCUGAGGUUGAGGGAGAUUUUGGUUGAAUAAUAAGGUGGGAGAGAUUACAAGUAGAAUAUUUUUCAUUCAAAAUCGGUGUGUAAAUCUUUUAUAGUAAAAAUUGAUUUUUUUAUGGUAAGUGGUUGAUGAUUGAAACUUGCGACUUGUUAGUUAUAGAUUGAAAAAAGCUGAUUUUUUAAAAUGUAUAUUUCUUCUACUUUUUGGGUUGCAGGAAGGAGCAAUAGACGUUGAAAAAUAAAUUAUCAACAAAGAAAUUGACCCAAAAAAAAACUUGAUGUUGAUCAACUUAAGUGAAGAGCUUAUACAUGUCAAACAAUUUUAAUAGAAAAUAUUUCGAGAAAAAGAACACGGCCCACUUAUUAUAAUUCUCAUGACAUUAAUUUUAGUGAAUUUGGCCCUGAACGAUACCUCUACAGUAAGUUACAUUUGGUCACAGAAAACCAGUACAACUUUGUGGGGUGGUCUACCGAUUGAUUUUUUUUUUUUUUUGUCAACACAGGGUGUCCGAGUCAAUUCUUACGGGUCCGGGUCAACACAGGGGUGGUCUACCGACUGAUUGUCUUGCCAUUUUUGUGGUUGCUAACUAUUACAAUUGUCGUAAUGCUAUCCGGAAAUGGCCAAAAUACAAACACUUAUCUGGAAAUGGCUAGCUAGUAUAAAUCACUCCAUCCUUUUGGGCAGGGAAACCAAGACAUGACAAGGGAAGAGAUAUAGUGAGAUUAAAUGCGUGUGCUUUGUGCCAUGAAUGGAGGAAAUGGACCUCAAAGCUAUGCCCAAAACUCAUCCUAUCAGGUAGUUUUUUUUUUUUUUUUUUUUUGGGUUUUUACAGAUUUGUAUUCAAUUAAUUUAAAGACAAAGGAAUUUCAAGCUUUAGGCCAGUAAAAUAAUAGACACUGCAUAUGGUACAAUGAUCAUUCGACGAGUCUUUAAGGUUUGUAAUAUAAGGCUUGUGUCCUAAAGCUCAUCUAUUAUUUAUUUUUUUUCCCCUUAUGGUUGCAGAGAGGAGCAACAGAAGUAGCAAAAGAAAUUCUCAAAGAAGAAAUUGACAAAAAGCUAGACAUCAAACAACUUUCUUCAACCUCUAUGGAUCCAUUUUGCAUAGCAGAUUUUGGCUGCUCCACAGGACCAAAUACAUUUGUGGCAAUGCAAAUCAUCAUUGAAGCCUUGGAGGACAAAUUCAAAAAAGAGGGACUAACACCUGAAUUUCAAGUCUUCUUUAAUGACCUUGUAUCUAAUGAUUUUGACACACUUUUUGCUUCACUUCCGCCAGAAAGACACUACUGUGCAGCUGGAGUGCCUGGUUCUUUUCACAGUGUCAUGUUCCCAAAGGCGAGCCUUCAUUUUGCUUAUUCAUCUUACUCGCUUCACUGGCUUUCAAAGGUGCCAAAAGAGGUUACAGACAAUACGUCUCCUGCAUGGAACAAAGGAAAGAUUCACCAUGGCGGUGCCAAAAGGGAAGUUCUUGAUGCCUAUGCAUCUCAAUUUGCCAAGGACUUGGACUCAUUCCUGAAUGCAAGGGCACAUGAGCUCGUGGAUGGAGGCCUGAUGGCACUUCUUAUACCUGCUGCUCCUGAUGCUAUUCGUGAAUCUCAUACCAGUACAAUCACAGAGGUAGAAUGUGAAGUUCUAGGAUCUUGCUUGAUGGACUUGGCUAAGAAGGUGAGAUUUUAGCAUUCUAGUUAGUUUUAGACACUGGCGAAAUCAGAAGUUGAAAUUUGGGUGGAAGACUAGUAAAGACAUAUAAUUAUAUAUAUAUAUAUAUAUAUAUAUAUAUAUUCUCAUUCUUUUAUUUUUAUUUUUUUACCUUCCAACAUAUUUAUUUAUUUCUCUAAUUUUUUGUCAAAAAAUUGUACAUGAAUAUGUUUCAUGCUCUUUUUGAAUGUUAGAAUAUUAUGCUUUUUUGUCCUUUUUCAUUUUCUCAUAGUUCAAAUAUUUAAUAUAAAUAAUUAAUAGUUGUUAAAUAAUUAUGACAUCACGAGUCAAUUAAGGUUCGUCCAACGAACGAUUGAACCAGCCAUCCUUGAUCCAAUAAUUUUUUCUACUCGUUAAAAAAAAAAAAAAGAAAAAGAAAAUCUAACUACCUACUGUAUCCAUUGCAGGGAGUAGUGGACGAAGUGAAAGUGCAUAUGUUCAACUUGCCAGUAUAUUUCACAUUUCCCAAUGAGCUAAAGGCACUGCUGAAGGCAAAUGAAAAUAUGGACGUCCAGAGAAUGGAGAUACUAAACAUUCCAGGAAAGCAAGUGCUUUUUCCCAACCCUACUGCAAAUGUUUUGUACCUGAGAGCUGUCUUACAAGGAGUUUUGGAGAAGCAUUUUGGAAGUGGAAUCGUGGAUGAAUUGUUUGAACUGUAUGGACGAAAAGUUGCAGACUCUUCUUUUUUCUUUGAUCCAGAAAAUCAAGAUCUGAUCGUGAUUUUUGUUCUGCUAAGGUGAAAAAUGAGAACAUGAAUAAGUUAAUAUUUAGAGUACCAUUUUUAAUAAAAUGUGCAAAUGAGAGUUAAAUGUCUAAAGCCAUAAAAAAAAAUUUUUUUUUUUUGGCAAGUAGAAGUUUAAUAUGUCCCGUACUACAUGUGCUGCAAUUUAGUUUUAUCAUUUAGCUACAAAGGAUCGUGAAUACGAUCACUUUUGCCAACCAAGAAAAAAGAUGGACCAAUUUAUAAGGCAAGCUUUUUGUUCAUCACAGACUCAAUAGACCAAUUUAUAAGUUGAUAAAAACAAAAAAAAAUUAUCUACCUACAUUGGUUCGUCGUCCCUGCUCCAGGCGGGAGAAAAUAAAAAAGGAACUACAAAAUACACAUACUAUGGGCAAUAGAAUUGCAAAUAUGACUAUUGUCUGUAGUAGCCACUCUGGUUAGGAGGAUAUGGGGGUUGGACCGUGUAAGGGGGCCUAGGCAUGGAUCCUGGUUGAGGAGCUGCAUUAUAGUAUGGACCACGCCAUCCAGGAUAGGCAGGCUGGCCAUACUCAUGGGUAACAGGAGGCUGCUGUUGAUGCUGUGGGGGUGGGUAUGGAGAACCUGAAGCUGGUACGUGAUAAGGAGGUGGUACUUGUUGUGGCGGAGAGACAUAAGGGGAAGGAGAUUGAGCAUAUCCGGCCAUUGUUGGCUGCUGCUGGGGCUGGUAUGGAGGAGUUGGUGGAUGUGAAGGGUUGGACACAUGCACAGGUUCUGUGUGCUGUUGGGAGUUUGGCCUUGGAGUCUGAUGGGGCUGUCCAGCUGCAGGAUAACUGUAACCACCCGUACUCUUGUUAUCCUGAAAACUGAGACCUGCAAUGUGUCUCUGAACAUCUUCAAUCAUCUCCCGGCACUGAAUGUUCCUUGUCAUCACAAAAUCACUACACUGUUGCUUUAUAUUUGUGAUAGCAUCCUGUUUAACAGAAAAAAUUGAGCGUCAAUAAACAAAUUUUGAAUCGAUUACCAAACGAAAAACAGAAAAAAUGAAAAAAAAAAAAAAAGGGAUUCAUGAACCCCUCACCUUUAAUGUGUUUAAAAUUUUGGUUAACAGCCAUGAAUUAAUUGUUAAUAUACAGAAUCAAGCUCAACUUUCUUUGGCAUUUUAAAUUUGUGUAUUUGUCAAUGUAGAGCCAAAUGUAUCAAGGGUAAAGCUUCAUGAACAAUAUUACCUUAUAUUUAGUUAUCAAAACUACAACAGCCUUAAGUAAUAUAUGGGCAAGGCUAAAAAAAUGUAUAUAACUAUCCACUUAAGCCAAAUACGGCUAUACCAGCCAGUUCUCUCUAGCUGCUAAACCAUACUAUGGAGGAAUGAAUAAUGUAAAAGAUAACAGACUCACAUAACUCUGUUUGUGCACCAUUUUUUUUUUUUAAUUAGCUAAAUCAGUGAAUGAAGGGAGUGCCAACUGUUUGUUCAUCAUUAUUUUUGAAUAAAAAAUAUGAAAUUCAAGCUUCAAAUGGGUAAGAAUGACUUGAAAAAUAUAUAGGGCCAAACUCAUGAAGGAAAAGCUCAAACCUGAAGAGUAACAUAGAACUUCAGUCCUUCAUUUAUGUUCUCCUUAAUUUCUCGAUACUUAGCUAUUGCAGCUUCUAUUUGCUUGUAGCUCUUCUCUCGAGAAGCUGACAAAUUGAAACAUGGAUUCAGGCAUGAAAGCGUGAGCAACAGAAAGCAAUAUUGAGGGCAAAUUUAGAUGGGAAAAGCACUGAUUUUAGCUUGCAUCAAGUGCUAGAGCUGAACUUUGUAAACCAGUAAAGCAAGAAGGAAGUGCCAUAGCAGUAAGAAGUCAUAACAAUGAGUCAACACUACCUGUCAGGACGAUAACAAUAGAUUCUUGUUUAUUGCAGCAAUUAGACCUUAAGACUAAACUAAGGGAUGAAAAACUCGGCUCAAACUAGAUCCUACAAGCUGUGCACCAAGAAGGGUGCCAUCAGAAUUUAAACCAAGUACCUAUACGCCUCUCCACAUUCAAUACCCCAAAUUCCCAAUUAACAGACAGUUGGUAAAGGACAAUAGGCCAUAGUCCAAUUAUAUGACAUAUUAAUUCAUGCUAGUAAUGAGAAAAAGACAAUCAAAAUGGCAAGCUACUUUUCAGCACAUAUAUUAGAACCUGCUUUUGAGUCAUUUAGUCUGCUUCCGUGAGCAACAUCACAAAUUAUUGGUGAGAAAAAUUAUAAGCAUCAUCGUUGAUAGAGAAAAAGGAUACUUGAGUUUGAAAAAUCUAGCAAUUUCCAAGUAAAACAGAAAUAAGGGCUCGACAGGCAAAUUCCUCAGCCAAAUGAUAUCUAACUUACCACAAUUCAAAAACAUGUCUAAUUCUAAGAGGAAAACCAUGUACCAUUACCAAGUAAAAGCCACCCUAGUUGCAGUGCCAGUCAACUUAAUAGGUUAAAGCACCCUCUGCUAGACGUUUAUCCACAGCUAUCAUGAAAAGCAUGAAAUGUAGUCUAGAACUAUGAUUCCACUAUAAACCCAGUAACAAACACCACCAACCAUAACACCAUACCCUCAUAACAAACAUGAACAGAUGUGAAAAAGCCUAAUGCAAAGAACAUAAAGCAGAACAAACCUUUGAAAUCUUCAAGAUUAAAAACUGCUGCAAAGUUAUCAUUUUGAACCUGAGGCAAAAUAAAGACAAUUAGAACAAGAGGUUCUCAAACCACACCUGCAGCAUCUAAGAACGUUCCAAUUAGGACAGGCAAAUUAUUAAAUCAACAUCUACUCUGAUUUACAUUUUCAUUUAUCCAUGCCUCACCUCCAUGAGGGCAAAUUACCCUAACAAAACUGAAAAGUCAAUAUUUUGCAAAGCAAGGAGAGAAACAAAAUCUAUCAAAAUCUUGAUUUUUAAAUGCUGAUUUCCCUCCACAAGAAUCAUCAAUUGUCAAACUUACAACUCUCUGGACAGUUUAUUAUAGUACACCAUGUUAUCCCAUCCCCAGAGAAGCCUUAAUCGUCAAGUUGAUAAAUUUCACAGUAAAUUCACUUCUCAUUUCUGGAAAGGGAAAAAUUAACCUUGUCCUAAUAAACACAAACCAUAUGCAUAGUACUCAUAGCAUACCAAAUCAGAUCAUCAGGCAGCCAUAACUACAUCUUUCUGAUCAUUAAGUUUCAUCUUGUCAAAACUAGGAAGAGAAAAUUAGGGGGGGAAAAAACGAGUGUCAACAAAAGCAUGCCAAUGGCUUAAAAGUCACUUAAAAGUGGUCAAACAAAUAAAUGUAUUCUUUUCUCUUUUUCUGGUCAAAUGGAUGUUCAUCUUGAUGCAUGUCAAGGCACCAACAGUACACUGCUCACAGCAAAGAUAAAUGUUAAAAAGAAGCACGGCGAUUUCAUCCCUGCACUUGGCUGGUGUAAGAACCACAGGGUUGAUGUUGGACUCAGUAUUAGUAUCUAAUGUUCUAAACAGCACCCGACUGACAAACAGAAUGAACGUCCAAAAUGCUUUAUUUCAUCUCUUUACCACAUCAAAGGGUACCAAACAACAUCAACAGAGUAGAGGAAUUACAUAUGAUACCAAUAGAACCUCAAAGAAAUGCUUAGCGGUGAAAACUGCCUCUAAAAUACUAACAUUAUUGUCAAUAGGCACCAGGGACCCCAUCGAGAUAUCAAUAGUUUAAGAAAAUACCGAAGUACCUGAAUAUGCAUCAACAGCUGUUCUUGUCCCUCAACAUUUUGCGCAAUUUCUUGACAAAUAUGAUCAUACUUUGCAAUUUCCUUCCUAUAGAGAUCCUCAUGCGAACCAGUCGACGUCAUCAACUUUGGUAGUAUGUCAUCCUGAGCCACAAAAAGAUAAGCACAAGUCAAAAGUAACAUAACAUUAGCAUGAGAACAGCAUGACAGAUAGAAAUGACCACCCUCCGCAUAGAUGUUUAAUUGUAAUUUUCAGAACUACAAUAAUUUCUCAGCUUAUAUCAGCAUAAGGGAAGUUAUAAAUAAGAGAAUAUGGCACUAGAGUAAUACAAGUCAAUAAAUAAAGAUGAUCUCACUAAUUAUAUCUAAGCUAAUGGGAGGCUAAUCUAGUUACUACAUUUCUUCUUGGAUAUAAACAGGAGACUUAUACUUUGGCACUUGAAAACAAGUUCACUAGAAAAGUAUACAAGAAAGAAUUUCUGUUAAGGAAUGAAUUCACCAGUAAGCAACAAAGAGACUGGUAACAGUAGGCAGAACUCUAACAGAAAGAUAAGUGAAAGCAGCAUGGCAAAAGAAGACUUCAAAUAGUUGAUAGUUCAGAACAAUAUCUGUUCAAAGAUGGUCUAAACAGCUAAACAAAUUGAAUAUGAGCGAGUUAUCCUCUGUACCUUCCUCUUCAUCUCUUUUAGCAUGUCUUCAAGACCUGCCCUCUGAGCACCAAGAGUCUCCAAUUGCCUCUGCAAAAAGAGCAAGGUUGCAUUUAUAGUUUCAUGGGAAAAUUAGUUCGGUGAUACAGUCAAUCAGAGUCUUUCAAAGUAGAAUUGAUACUUCACGCAAUAAAAAGGGAGAUGUAGCUUCUUUCAUCAUGAAAACUUUCAUUUGACUUUUUUUCCACCUUGAAACAAAUAGAAUGACAGAUGCACUUAUUUCACAUGUAGUUUUACAAAGAAUGAUUUCAAAAGACCACAAAGUAGUACCGACAACUUCUUCCUUCCUUGUCAUUGUUAUAUUCAUAAUAGAAUGAUGUUUUUAGUACUCCAUUAUACUUUCUCAGUCUACAAACCAAUACAGUGAUCCCAAAUUCUUAAGGAUCCAUCUGUAAACGAAGUCAAAGAGAAAUUGACAGACUUAAUAAGACCAAAGAGGUGUAUCUUGAAAAGCUGAUUCUCCUCAGCAUCAUAUUUUAAAUUCUUUAUUCAUUUCAAUCACAAUGAAAAAACUUCAACGUGAACAUGCCCUAUUGCCUAACAGAGAUUAGAAGAAAUUAGUGAAGUUCCAAAGGUCAAUUUGUUGACAUGAAUUGCAACUAAAUAUAUGUCCAGAAGACUUAAUAAUCUUCAAAAAACACAACAAAUAGAUUUUACACAUUACUAACUCAGAAUUAAAACACAAACAAAACCAACUUACCAAGCUCUGUUUCAGGGCUCCCACUACAGCAUCUUCAUUUGCAUCUAAUGACAUUAUGGGCCUUGACAGCGAGGGUAAUGCAGAUUCAAUCUACCAAAGAUAAAAUGCACAGAAAAGAAUCAAAUUCCUGUUACUUCACAGAAAGUGCUCAAAGAAAAACUCGAGCAUUAGAAUUAUGGGUCCAUUCUAAUUCUUAGUAUUAGAUUUUGCUUUUCACACCCACUUCCAGCUUCCAAAAAAAAAAAUACCUCUCCAGACUUGAUUUGAAGAUGAUAAUUCUCCUUCAUAGAAUUUCUAAACAUAUAAAUCUUCAGAUGUUACAUGACCUUUUUCACUAAUCACAUUUUUUCCUGUCCAUUAAAAUUAAGGCAAGAACAAGAAGCAACAGAUAACUAAGCACUUGCUGCAAAAAGGGGAAAACUAAUAAACAUCAAUUCAGACAUAAUGCAGUUCCAAUUUCAAAGCCAAGCAGCCACACAACACUCCUUAUGGGAAACAGAACAUAGGAAUUUAUAAGCUCAAUAUUAACCUAACCCCUAGCUAAAUAUCCAUGAAAUCAGAUAAAAGAUUUAUAAAAUCAUGCAAGUGGCUAAAGGAACUUCAGUAUUACCAUCAGAGUAAUUAAAACUGCACAAACUUCAAAACCAUUAAGAGAGGGGGGGGGGCUACUGAAGGAUUUCCAAGCCCAUAAAAGAUUUCAAGCAAUAUAUCAAUCAUACAGCAACCGAAGUCAUACAAAUUAACCUAAAUCAAAUAAAGAAGCAUACUGGGCGAUGAUCAAGGAUUGACAUUAGUGCCGAAUGAUCUCUCACAGAUCGCUCUAUCCGUCCAUCACUUUCUGCUGCCUGCUUCAAGUUCGCAGCAAACCUAUUAAGCCGAUCUAGCAAGUUCUUUGUUAAAGUACUAGAUUGUGGUCUAGUCCACCGUGUUCCAAAUUGGCUUCUGAACUGUGCAUCUUCUGUUGCCUCUUUUUGCAGGAGCUCCUCUGUCUGCACCAACAAUUCUUGGUCCACCCUCCUCAAAUCUUUAAGUUGCUGUAACUCACCCUCUAAACCAGCUGGGCCCCCACAAACUUGCACAGCCUCUACAUCUUCUUUAAGAUCUGUUGGAAGAGUGGAAUUCCCUUCCAAAGCAAGAAUAGAAUCGGGUAAGUCCAUCUCCUUCAGCCUCACUCGGGCUAGCUCACUUGCCUGUUGUAAUUUCUCAGCUUGCAUCCUGAUAAUGUCAUCAACCAUUUCUGUAUAUCUUGAAAGAGAUUUUGCACUGCUAUCAGGAACAAGCCUCACAAACAUUUUCUCCUUGCUUGCAUCCAACACCUCAUUCAUUGGCAUAGGCUUCACCAAUGAAAAAGCAGGAAGUGGCGGCAAAGAACUGGCAGUAGGAACCCUCAUUAAGUAGACUCUUUCAUUCUCCUUCACAGCCCUCUCCAAGUUGCGGUUCAGGGUUGAUUCUAAUUUGGUCAUUGCAUCCAGAAGCUGCUGAGCUGCCCCCCUUGGACAUGAUUUCUUUGCCUCAGUCAAUGCAGCAACCCCACUCUUCAAACGGGCAAUCUCCUCAGCUAUCUCUUCCUUCUCAUGGAGCUCCAAACUGUACCUGUAGCAAGCCUCUGCAUAAAACAAGGCUGCUUUAAGCUGAACAUGAGCUAGCCAGUUCUUAUCAAAGUGCUGGUUGAGAGGUGCAACAUUCAGAGCUGCCAGACCCUCCUCAUAAUAUAGUCCAACCUGUAACACCACAACAUGCGACCUCAACUUUGCAGUCAUUGCCAAUUAUGUGAACCCAAAACAUGUGAACUAUAGUAAAGUAACCAUUUUCUAUCAAAAGAAUUUACGUAUUAAUGGACAUACUAAAUUAAGAACAAUCUGCAAAUAUCCAGUAAUGGCACACAUUCAAUAAUAAGAUCAUUAGUAUAUGGGCGACAAAAACAGUCAUUAUGAAUGGAAAGAAUAAAAAAAUUGGAAAAGUUCUCAAGUUUCACCAGGUGUAAGGACAUAUGGCAUUCAUAUUAUUGAAGAAUCAAGGUCAAUGUAAUCUUUUGACUGAACAGAUCAAAAGGUGAACAAUAAACCAAUAUGCAAAACUUGAAUGCCUUUGUAUAGCUCCUUUUUUUAUUCAAUUGACCAAAAAAAGAAAGAAAAAUUCCUCUAAUGGGGACAUUUUCCAGUCUAUUCUUCUUGCGUUUGUUCAGAAAGAAUUCCAUCUGCUGAAGCAUUAUUUUAGUGACUGAUAAAUCGUUAGCAUUUGCAAUACCUGUACUUCGAAAUAGUUUCAACAAGAAAAAUACCGAAAAAGAGAAAGACCAAGACAUAGAUGGUCUCAGUUUAGUUACAAAAGGAAAGUCACUGCAACCAAGGUUAUUGAGCCAAAAUCACCAGUUAUACGUUAUUGCAAAAUCUUUAGCAAAUUUGCACACCAUACUUGUAUAUCAAAUAUUUGGACAGCCAAAUUUCAAAUAAAAGGUAGCUAAGCUCCCAAAAAUCCCUAAAUACCUGUCUGGAAAUCUUUGCACAAACCCCAGGAGUGUUGCCCUUGGCAAUAGUAUUCUCGAAAACACACUCCUGAGCCUGAGCCAACAUCAGUCUCUCCAGCAUUCCAACACACUCCACUGACACAUCCACAGAUGUUGAGCUACCCAUUGAUGCCUUCAUUGCCACAUUAUCCCUCAAAAAGGCAAAUGCACCAGCUGCUGCUAUAAAAGCAUGAGAUGCCUGCUUUCGCCCAUCAACCCCUGAUCGGUCAAAACUCAGCCCCAUUUGACUAUGGACUGCCCCCAAAUUAAACAACACUGCAGCUUUUUCUAAAUAAUAACCCAAAAAAAAAAAUUUGAUGGAAUGCCAAUUAGUAUGCUACAACUCGCAAGUAAAAUACAAAGCUUCUAUAGAAAAGUCAGAAAUGAGUAAGAUUAACUGAUGGACAAGUCUGCCAAAGACUCGUACCAACCUCCAGAAUAAGAAUAGCAUAACAUAUUCCUUCAAUUCUGCCUAAAAAAUUGUACCUUGCCCUAAAAUCCCAAUCAAAAAGUAAAAGAUAAAAUCAAUCUUUUCAAGAACACUUAACGCACUGUACUUUCUGUAUGCUCUGAUCAUACGAGAAACAAGAAGACCAGAAACAAUUUCAUUUUAUUGUACAGAUUAUCUAUAGUUAAUCCCCUCACAAGAACCAAAACUAAUAUAAAAAUAUGAAAACCUAAACAAAAGUUUGGUAUCCCUGUUUCCUAGCAAAUAAAGAUCAACAUAGAUUUCCCCAAGAGAAAAGGAGUAUAAAAUGUCAAUAUUUUGCCAAACUAAACAACACUACUGAGUCAUUGCAUCUUACACAGAACAUAUUGUAGCACAGCGAAAUGCAAUCAAUCAAACAAGCAAAACAAUAUUUACCUAACUCAAAACAAUAAAGUACUAAAUGACACUACAGAAUACACCUAAAGCAUUGACGGAAUGUACCAUAGCAAAAUCGAACCAAUCCAAAACAAACGAAAAAAAAAAUUGAAAUUUUACCUAAAUGAAUAUUUUGCUGGGCAGCUUUCUGUUUAUUUUUGAACGCAUCAAACCAAGUGAACGUGACCGUACUAAUAUGGUCUUUAUCGGGAGAAAUAGGGAACCUCGACUCCACAGCGCAAAGAGCUCGAUAAUACUUCUGGAGAAGAUCACGCCGCGCCGGGAGAGAAUCGGCCGGAGUAGGGCCACGUUCCAUGUCGGUUCGAAGUUCCUUGAGGGUUUGGAGAUCGUCCUCCAAGUUCUGAGCCUCACGUUCGCCGUAAUUGAUCACUAUGUAGUUCCGCAACGGACGGUAAAGGUCUAAAGAGUUGGUCUUCUUCUCGUAUAUUGCUAGCAUGAUGUUUGUGGUUGCUGCAGCCGUUGACGACGACGGAGACGCCAUGAUCGGCAGUGGUGGGAUAAAUAUUAAGAAUUUCGAUUAAAUCCGGCUCCGCAAUUCUAUUUAUACUGAUUUUUCUGUAGAUAGAUUAAAUUGAUUGAGAAAAUUGGUAGGAUUGAAGUCAAUGGGAAGGUGUGUAAAUUGGCCCCCCGCGGGGUGUUUUGGGGCGUGUGGGAGGUGUUUUGCUUAGUUGGAAAGUAAAGGACAAAACCUUGGGGGAUUUGUGGGGCAAAAUUGAUAAAAGUGAUUAGGAAAGUGAUUAGGGGGCAAGGUUUUGUUCAACUAAGAGUUUAGGGGUUUCAGUGUAAUAUACUUGAUAACAAAAUUAAAAAAUGAAAGAGUUCUAAAUAUAAUUGCUGUUUUAACCUUUUAUUUUUACCAAUAAUCCUAUUUUAAUUUCUAUAUCUUCUACUAAUUGUUAACAUUACUAUGCUCACUUGUUGAAAAUAUAUCAAUUAGAUCACUUGUAGAAUGAUUUAAAGUGGAUAGCCAAAAUAGUCUACAUUAAUUUAUUGUAGCAUAUACGACUUGGUUUGGAUUUUUUUUAUUAGGAAAACUUUAAGAAAAAUAUUAUUAUUGCACUUUUUUUUUUUAAAAAAAAAAGAGGUUCUAUGUAAUAAAAAGUUAAUUGUAAAACAUGCUAAAAGAUUUUCUUUUUUUUUGUCAAAAAAACUUGAAUAACCAAUAUAUUUUAGAUAGAAAUUGAGAAUCAAGAAAAACUUAUUUUAUUUUAUACGUUAUUUAUAAGAUUAUAAGACGUCCUUCAAAAUCUUGAAUUAACCAAUAGUUAAAAAAAAUAAUAUUUUAAAUAAUAUUUUAGAACAACAAAUAGUGGAAUGAAUACUAAAAUAUUAGUCAAAAGAAAUUUAUACACUAUGAAACUAUUUGAAUCAUAACUUCUACGUCUUGGAAUCUCAACCUUAAUGCCUCCUUAAUUACGUACAAAAUAGACAAAAAGAUGGGGAGGCAAAAUAGAACAACUCAGAAGAAUGAGGGCCAAAACAUUAGUUCACCAAACUUCGGAGAAAAAUCCUAACCGGGUUCCGAGUAGUAACAUAACAUUGCAAGGCUGGCUGACCGGGUUAGCAGUAGCAGAGGAAUCCGGUCCAUGAAUUAAGAAACAGCAGAAAACCGCGUGGAGUAACACCCACGCAUAUUCUUUCUUGUUCUCAGGUUCUAUAAAGAUCCGGUGAACCCCUAUUUGGUCGAACUCUCUAGAAAUCCUUUCAGAUUGGGCAGCAGCUGCUCAGAUUUCGAAGGUUGAGAUAACGCCGCUUUUCAAGAUUUCACAGCUAAAUUCAAAUCUUCUUGUUAGCCUUAGGUAGCCGUCUCAGAUCUCUCCUUCUUGCUGUUCAUCCUUUGUACAACUAACCAGGUAUGUGACGAAUUUUAGUUUUCGCCAGUUUUUCUAUCUUUGUAUCUGAUUGGAUUGAGUGUUUGUCUCUCGCUCCUAAAUGGGUUUUAAUUGUUAUUUUAUGGGUUUCUCUUAUUUUGUACUCAUUCAAUAUGCAUACGAAGAAAUUUUAGUGUUUAUGCCUAGGCCCUAGGGUUUGUUGCUGCUGUUUGAUUACUUAGUGUAGUGGCUAUACAACAAGGCUGGAUGGAUUUUGAGUAGAUGAAUUUUAGCUGGAAUAUUGAGUUCUUGAAGAUGAAAAGUAACAAGGCUGGAAAUAUUUAUAGCUAGGUGAAUUAAAUUUUCGAAGGUGGUUAUUAUGUUUCCUUUUUGGUUGUUAGAUUUAAUCGUGGCUGAAGUACAGUACUUAGUAUCCGGUUCAAAAUCUUUUUUUUUUUUUUUUAAAUUUGUGAAAAUUAGUUGCUGAGAUAUAAAGCUUCAUGUGAAUUAUGGAUUGGCUGCAGACUUCUUGGAAAAAAGGAUUGGAAGUGAAGAGACAAAUUUUAGUUGGGCAUUCAAGAUUGUGACUUUCUUAUAGUAUUAUAUUGUUAUAAGGUAAGAAACCCGACUCGGAUUUGUACAGUCUCUUUCUUUGCAUUCUUUUGUCAUGUUUAUAUAAUUUCUCUGCAUGUGUAGUAUUUUGUUUAUUACUGAGAAGCUGGAUUUGUAUUACUUUCUGCCAAAUUUCAUGAAAUUCUCUAUGAAUGUUAAAAAAAAACUGUAGUUUUUUUGGUGCCAAUGAAGCAAAUCAAUUGCUGCAGUUGUCAUGCCCUAUGUAAAUUUUGAACCUGGGAAAUGUUUGUUAAAGAGAAUCUCUUAUUUUCAUGUGUCUCAGAUGAUUGUUAUAGAGAAUCUCUUAUUUUCUUGUGUAAGAUACAGUCAACAAAAGUGUAGGACUUCAUGUGGUUGAUACUUGUUUAAUACCAAUAACAUUGAUGAUUAAAUAUUUGGCUUAAAUUAUGUACAAAUGCUUUCAACCAAUGUUGUGUUGGAAUAUACGUUGAAUUGGUUUCUGUUGUAACCCUCCAAUUCCUGUCGCUAAUAAGACUAUUAAAGCUUUCUAAGAAAAACAAUGAAAGUCUUUUUUCUGAAUGAGCUCACCAGUCUCUUUAUCAAUUAUGGUGGACCCUGCAGCUUUUUAGGGUGUGAAUUAAGUUGCCGAACAAUCUGCCAGGAAACCAGCCUCAUAAUUUGCGAAUGACAUGUUUAGGCGACUGAGUAUACAAUCUGUAUGAAUUAUUUGUUGUGUGCUCUCCAGAAAUGAUUAUGUCUUAUAGUGUCUUUUAACCCCACCUUGACGUGCUUCAGUUGAAAGGUUUUCUUGUUUCUUUCUUAAUUAUGUUUUUCUUAGUGCUCUGUUUAGAUUUUCUUUGCAAUAUACAUUGAAAGAAGUUUUUUCUUAAUAUCUGAGCUGUUCAAAAUGUAUUUAACUACCUCAUUUUGCUCCUACAAAGGGCGUUCUUCCUUUGUGCCGAGAAAACAUUGUAAUUUUUAUACCAAUUUUGCCUUCUAGAUUUCUGCACCUUCACUUCACCACGCGUUCCACUUUUAGCCUCCAAUUUUCCAUCUUAGAUGGUUCAGAAUCACUCAAAUCUUGUGUGCUGAAAAGAGAAUUCUCUGUUUGCUUCCAAAAACACCUAAAAGGUUGUGUAAGAAGAAGUUUGCACAUGGACAGCUUACUAAUUGCUUAAACCAGUAAAAUAACUUUCACUGUGCAGAAACUAGUCUUCGAUUGUAGAGUUUCUUUGAGGGGAGAAAGACAUAAAAACAAUCAAAGAUAUCUAUCAUAUAUCUGCCAGAGAAACAUACGGCUUUGCUAUGUUGUACUUCCAUUUGUCUUUUCUGAAACAAUCAAAGAUAUCUAUAAAUUUGCUUCUCAUGCUAGUUGUUGUUGAUCAUCUCUUUCUUGACUGAUUUCCUGGUGGAGGAACUAACAUUGUUUCUUUCUCUUUUUGAGAUGUACUUCUGGUCAUCAUCUCAUACCAAAAUGCAGGUAUUCAGUUGUAUUUUAUAUCAAAAUGGAUGCCAAGAAGUUUAUCCAGCUGGUCGAGGAGAAGAAGAAGCGGAUGAUGGAGAGGAAAGAAGCCCCUUUGAAAUGGGAGCAAAAAUUGGAAGCUGCAGCCAAGGCUAGAGCUGAUGCUGAAAAGGAGAGAAAGAUGAAGGCCACUAAGCACAAGAAAAGAUCUGUACCAGGUUCUGAAAGUGAUUGUAGCAGUGACAGCAGCAGUGAUGAAAGGAAGUCAGCUAAAAGGCCCCACAGGAAGCAUAGGAAGCAUAAUCACUCUGACUCAGGCGAUAAUGAGAAGAGGAGGGAUAAGAAAUCCAGACAUAAGUCGAAAAGGAGAUCCUCUGACUCUGGUGAUGAUAGCAGUGGAUGUGAUACUGAUUCACAAGAAGAGAGGAGGAGAAAGAAGCAGAGGCAGAAAAGGCGAAGGCAUCAUGAUUCAAGAUCAGAUUCUUCUGGUGCUGAUUACUCUGAUGAUGAAAGUGACAUUGAUAUGAGAAGAAGAAAUCGCAUAAAGAGUCACAAGCGCCAUCGGAGAUCUCAUUCUAGUGAUUCAGAAUCUGCAUCUGACGAUGACUAUCCAGGCAGAAAGAGAAACCGUGCAAGGCACCACAAACGUUCUAGACGAUCAGGUUCAAGUGAUUCAGAUUCAUCAAGCGAUGAUGACACUCCAAAGAGGAGCCGUCAUGCGAAACACCAUAAGCAUCAUCGUGGAACCCGUACUCAUGACUCGGUGUCCUCAGAUUCUGAAGAUCAUCGUCGUGACGGGAGUAGAUCUCUAGGGAAGUCAUCUGAUGACGAUUUUGGUAAAGUAGAAAAGCAGAAAAAGCAUCAUCAUGGACAUGGUCGUCACCACCACCAUCAUCAUCAUAACAAUCACAAUCGCAUCCACUCUGACGAAACGCCACUCAAUGAUCAGCAGGCUGGGAAAGCAACAGAAUCAAAUGGAAAAAAUACUCUGCGAGAGGCAAAUAUGGACAAUAGCCAUGAUAAAGCUGUUGAACAGCAAACUGCUUAAUGGUCCGAGUGUGCCUUCCAAUGGAUUCAUGUGCGCUGUUUCUGUGUAGGUAACUUAGGGUUUUCUGGUUGGUGUUGCUGGAGGCUUGGAAUCUGGAAUUUGUCAAAGAUUAUAUGUUGAACUGCUGCAGCAAAAACCUUUCUGAUUGACAUUUGAAUUUACUGAUUCCGUAUAAAUAUGUAACAGCUUAUCAGCAAUUUAUUCCCUCUCUUUGCUGUGUGGAACAUUUAUUUUAACAAACUGUAAUGGAUGCGUUUAGAUUGAACAAUCAACCAUCUCAUGCGAAUGUCUAGUUGCUGUUUGGUUGGCAUGCCUUGUAUCUUCAUUGAUCAGGCCUACAUUUCUUAACAUGUUCAAAAUCUUUAUUCAUUCAUGUUUAAUAAAAUCUCAAAUGAUACAAAUUUCUUUCGUAUUCCGUGAUCAACGUGACAUGAAUUAGCUAAACCUCCAUACAGGUCUGGGAUGUUUGAGCAUAAAAUUAAUUACUAAUUGCAAACCCCACCAGGUUCGUUGCAGUGUGGUUGAGGAGGUAUGAAUUUUGAAGGGUAUCAAGAGACGGACCAAUAGUUUUUUUUUUUUUGAACUCAGAGACGGACCAAUAGUUAAAAGCUAUAAAAUACAUGAAAGUAAUCACUCACUAGAAAGCAUCCUAGAAGCGUAACAGUAACUACACACUAACUGUUGGGUCUUGGCCAAAGUGGGCACUGAGAAGAAACAGGCUGGCGUAUAACAAAUCCAGACAUUAUUCUCUGAAGAAUACAUAUCGAACUACAGCAAUUGAUAAGGAAGCACGUAAUGGUGCACGUCAAGUAUUAAUACAAAAUUUAGUGUAUCAUAACUAAGGCAUCGAUGCUUUUGCCCACUUACUUCUGCUCCUUAAACCUCUAGAAUGCCUAACUCUUAAUCAAGACUGCCACGUUCACCUUAAAGCUGAACCACUGAUAGGAGUUGUACUCAGUGAAGGCAGUGCUAAUUAGCUGUUGCAACCCGUACACUCUCAAAAUUGCAAAUAGUGGAGUCAUUUUGCGAUCAAAAUUCAAAUGCUGAGUCAUUUAUACUCAGCAAGAUAAAAUGAAUGGAUAGUACUGACCACUAGGUAAAAAUAAUACAACAAAUACAGCCCACAAAAAUUUAUUAUCAGAAGUUCUUUAAGAUCUUCUCUGCGGAGACUCCAUCAGCGACAAGAAGAGAAGUAACCUCCUACAAGAAACAAGAUCAGAGAUCCUUAGUUUGCUUUCUUAAUGCAAAUGGAAGAAGAUGCCUACUUAAUGCAAAUCAAGAAAUAUCUAAGUGGCCAUAGUUUACACUUCUGGCACGCCAGUUACCUAGAAGAAGAGAAUUUUCAUCUUCUUAAUUGUAAGGCAGUAAUUCCAGUCAAGUGCUUAAACAAGUUUACUUUUUAAAUCAACCUUCUUUUUUUGGGUUUUUUCUGGGUCUCAAACUUCUACAAUAAUCUCUCCAUCUUCACAAGUCAGAUUAUAUUUGUUCAUCACAUCCAUGAUAAGAACGUGUUCCUAAAUCUGUUGGGCAUGACCACACUUAGUAGUUGUUCCAACACCAGGUGUCAACAACCAACAUAAAUAACGGAUGUUAAAAACACUACAAAUAAUUGCUUAAUAGCCUAUUUCUUCACGACAAGGUCAAAUCUAACGACAGUAGAACUCCAAAAUACCUCAGCCAUUGGCUUCUGUCCACACAGAACUGCACCUGUGGAUUGCGGGCUAAAAAUCUUUUUCGCCCUAGCAAACGCAGCCUGCAAAAGCAAUCUUAUCAGGAUAUGGGAAACAAAUUUCAAAAAGCAAAGAAAAAUUGAGCUACUGGAAAUGAGCAGUAAAACUGUGAAUACAGAAUGUCUCAUCAAGGCAAAAUCUGAGCACAAAAACGUCAUCACAUUAUGACAUGUUGAAUAAGCUCAUACCUGGACAUAUCCCUGCUCCCCAGUCCAAGUCUGAUCAGGCUGAGAUAGUACUGGCACGAUUUCCACUCCAGACAAUUCCCACUCUUUAAACCUAUCCUGUAGUGAAACAGAUAAAAGCUUUCAUUUUGGGAAAUUGAAGGGAGAAUUGUUGUGUUUUUUGCUUUGCUUUAAUUUGUGUGUGUGUGUGAGAGAGAGAGAGAAAGAGAGAGAGAUGGUAUUCAAUGCCAAGAACAAAACCUGAUAAGCCAUCCUCUUAAGAUUCCUGGCGCCAUAAUAGAGUCUAACAUCAGAUCUCUUAUCAGCACCGAAUCCAGACUCGAUCAAGGAUCGAAUUGAGCUGCACUCCAUUAGUAGGGAGGAAGGAGUUGAUUAUACAGAACAGAAAUAUAAAUAUUAAUACUCAAUUUACCAGAAAAUGAUAACAGGGGCAAUUCAUUUUCUACUCAAGAAAUUCUUAUUUUGAACCAAUUGACCAGACAUGCUGUAUUUGCAAUUUGAGUCCAGCACUAAUCUCAUCCACUUCUAACGCAUAAGUUUGUUCACUCGCUACUAUUUCUCUUGAUUCUUUUCUUCCAUAUCAGGCCAGUAUUGGCUGUAUGUUAGUCACUAUGAAUGAAGACAAGUUUUACCUACAAUUAUUGUUUUGGAGAAUAAGAAAAAGACAAACUUACCGUCAGACAUAUACAUCUAAAUCCUCAAGGACCAAUUGUCUCAAAACCAUUCCAAAUAUGGUAUACAAAUACAUAGUCUUAUUUUCUCUAGCAUUUAAAUAGGCCUGCUAAUUUCAUGGCUGACGAACAGUUCAGUGAGCAAAUUAGCAAAUAAACUUGACUAAGCUUGGAAUCUGUCUUGAACUACAUCUUCUGGCAGCUUGAACAUGCUCUACUGUGUAAAACACAAACAGUCAAAAUAGUCUAAAAUUUACCAACCCCAUAAAAAGUUAAAAGUUUAUUAAUUACAAUCAUACCAUGUGCUUAAUUAGUGAGUAUAUAGGAGGAGGAACAGUUCACAAGAAACUGAUCAACUAACAAAUGGUUCGCAAAAAAAAAGCUGAUUUUGAAGAUCAGAAAUCAGAAAACUUUCAAGCAAAUAUAAUCAAAGGCUCAAUGCCCCCAUAUCAGUAAAGUUCAAUACAAGUAGAUAUCAAGAAGAAGCAAAUAUUGCUUUUAGAUGCAUGCAAAAACACACAGCAUUUUAACAUGAGAAAAAUGUGCACACAAGGGAAGGGAACCCCCCCCCCCAAAAAAAAACAUCAGUACACACACACACACACUAAGAGGAAGAAGAUCAACAAAAACCUUACUUAGAAGCAUGUGCAGACAAAGCAAAAAGAAACAAAUACAAAAUCCAGUAUCUGAUUUUCUUUCCAAAUGUUGAAAUUAGUUGUUUACUCUUAUACUAAAGUAACAUGCCAAGCACUCAAAAGCAUUGGAAUCACUUCAACUCCCUUUCUUUCUUCACAACCGAAGCCUGCAGCCCGACUAUUUUUACCCCAUCAUGUUGUCCCUAGCUCUCUGCUAACCAACCCAACCAAAAUGUUUGACACAAUCCAGCAUCUAUCUUCUCCUAGCCAACAAAAAACAAACCCAGGCCUUUGACAAUUAUAACUGAAUUAACAGGAUUCUUGCAGCCCAAUAAAAAAUGGGAAAAGGUUUUUCCUAAUUAACUGGGAGUCUAAGAAUCUUCGAAUUGCCUAAUCCCUAUUGUGAAGUAAAUAACAGUGCGUCCAAAGCUCACAUCAAAAAAUAUCUCACAAAGGGAGAGAAGACUAUAGACAGGCGAAGCAUUUUUUUUUUUUUUUAAUAAACAGGCCAAGCUUUGUUCUUUGCAAUUGAGAUCAUACUAACUAAUUAGGAACUGCACCGUGCAUUGUGAUGUUUCUUCCAAUAAACUUACAGCUCCAAAUUCAAACUUUCUGAAUUUACAGUAGAUAUAAAAAUUUAAAUAGUGAUUUUAUCUGUUUUUCCCAAUUUUUACCAUAAUAUGAAAUCAGGAAUUGGAAAUUUUUUAAGAGAAGCUCUAAUAUUACCUGAUUCCAGAUCCAGUGGCGAAAAUAAGCACCGUCUUGUAAUCCUGCGGAGGAGAAAUUUGAUCAAUUUCGAAACCUUUCCCCAUGGCCGGAGUCAACUCCACCACAUCACCUUUUUGGAGUCCACAUAGGAGCUCAGCGGUAGAGCCGGCGACGCUUUUAACUAGGAAUUCAAAAACACCUUUAGCAGCGGCCAAGGACGGUGGCGAGGCAAUGGCGAGAAAAGACGGUUUCUCGGAGACGGGGACUUUAAGCUGGAGAUACUGGCCAGCCUUGGUAUAAGAAGCGGCGAGGUCAGGAGAAUCGGAGACGUCGAUAGUGACGUUGAAGAGCGAUUCGGCGGCGGGGGAGACGGUGAGAAGAGGCGCAGAGGUCCAAGCGGUCGUGUCUUGCCGGACGGCGGCGGCGGCGGAAACGGAGAGUUGGCGGCGGAAAAGGUGGAAAAGGAGGGGUUGGGGUUUUAGUCUGAGGAGGGUGGUCAUGGGAAAUGAUUGACUACGACAGGGUGCAUGGGAACGUAUGCGAGGAAGACGCGGGGUUGGAGUUGGGGAGAGAGUGAUUAAGGACAUUUUUCUGGGUUUUUAAGGUAAAAAGAAUAGUAAGCACUUUAGUUUGUUGUUUGAGCUGGUCGUGGAGGAGACUAGUAAGCUCCGCCGCCGCAAAGGGUGGUGGGACUGGGAAGAAGGGAACUGGCCUGUGGGCUGUGGGUCAAAAUACGCCGCGAGCUCGAUGCGCCGGAGUAAUUGGGAGCUUCCACGUGGCAUUUCUUGAUAAGUAGCGGGCCCUACCAGUUGCUCCAAUUUUGCAGACGCCAGAACUAGAAGCGUAAAUAAGCACGGACAGAUCACUAGAUCAGUAAAAUGAAGCAUGGAAACAGAAUUACAACCUACGUUGGAAAUUUACCUCAUCCGAGGAGGAGAUUAUCAAACACUUAUUUUGGAUAAAAAGAUUGAUUAGAAGUGAAACGUCUUGGCCUUCUAUAUCAUACUGGAUAAAGAAAACAACAUUUCCAUAAAAAAUUGAUUAAAAGUGCAACAUCAUUUCAAAAACAUCAGCAGCACCUUUAUAGCUUCAAAUGCAGUCAACACAGGAACAGUUACUUUAACAGAAAUUUCGUCCCAGGUUGAGAUUUGUUCCAACAGCAGAUCAUUACAGUUUGUUCCAAUCCGGGUUUCCGCGACAGUUUCAUGCCUAAGCUGUAAAAAACAGAUGUAACCGCAGGCCAUUAAAGUUUGUUUCAAAUCGGAUCAUUUGCACACCCCAUUUGCCCAAAGAGCUAAUGACAGAGAAUACUUUUGUGCUGGAAAGCUGGAUCAGAUCAUAGAGCCAAGUUCUUUGCACAUAAAAAUUUCAUAAUUUUCACUCCUGCUUCGAGUACACAAGAUUGAGGAAAAGGGGAAGAAAGUGAUUCAGAAAAUUCCAUGGCUGGUGCUCAAGUGUUUCUAACAUUAAAUUCAGAGGCAAAAUAUACAUGUCCGCCACCGCCCUUAUUGUAUGACAAGACAAGGCAUAAGGGGGCUUUAGCAGGGAGGGCCUUGCACUCUCCGGCUCCAUGUCCGUCACAAUCCCACACCUUCAGUUGAUAUAUAAAACAGAAACACAAAAACCUGGACUCCUCAGUUCCCCAAAAACCUCAAAAUAUAACUCCUGAUCUUGGCCAAAGCCAGAAAUUUAAAUUAUUGAUUUUCGGAAUUAUCAGUUAAAAAGGGUGUAAAAAAUAAAAAGUCACUAAAAUUCCUUAUGCUGCAGAUUCCUUGGCAAUCUUCUCAGCUUUAGCAAUGACCUCCUCAAUGCCACCAACCAUGUAGAAUGACUGUUCUGGAAGAUCAUCGUAGUUUCCAUCCAAAACGCCCUGUAGAAAUCAACAAGCAGAAAUACAUCAGCAUAUCAUUUGAAUUCUCUGAAUAAAUAGGAAAAGUCAAAAUAGCCAGAGGGGCCAUAAUGGUAGGUAAAAUGAUGCAAAUGAUUGUUCUUAGACCAAUCAAAUUACAUCUGCAGUUGGAUAGCUGAAGCAGAAACCCAAUGUUUCUAAAUUUCACAUAGUUCACGAAAACUAGGAUGCAGAAGAAAAGCUUUCACAAUUAGCACCAAAGAAAUUCAUGCUUUGACAUUGUCAGUUAAAAACAUGGGUCAUUGUACCAUCAAAAGUUUAUAUAGGAGUUAAGACAUAGCAUUGCAAUCAGAAGAAUAUGCUAAAUCAAAUAAAGAAACUGAAGUAAAAAUCUACUCCCAGUUUCUGUUAAUCCAACCUGAGAUUCCCAGGACACCACAUGGCAUAUCUAUAAGUUCAAAAAACCGAAACAUUCAGGUGGAAAGGGACAGUGGCAAAUGUAGUGCAGACCAUACAUGGCAUAAAAUGAAACGAUAUUUACCUGGAAACUGACAAUGCUCUCCUUCAACUCAACAUAUUUUCCAGGGGCACCCGUGAAAACUUCAGCAACAUGGAAAGGCUGACUCAAGAACCGCAUAAUUUUACGUGCACGGGCAACUGUCAAUUUGUCAUCUUCACUGAGCUCAUCCAUUCCAAGAAUGGCAAUGAUAUCUUGCAAAUUCUUGUAGUUCUGAAGGACCCUCUGUACUCCACGAGCAGUGUUGUAGUGAUCCUCUCCCAAAAUGUGUGGAGAGAGCAUACGUGAUGUGGAAUCAAGUGGGUCAACAGCAGGAUAGAUACCAAGCUCAGAGAUCUGGACCAAACAUUAAAUCAUCAAUAAAUGUAAAUUUCCAUGUGGUCUGAAAACUUUUAAGACUUAAAAAAUCCAAUUACCUGUCGAGACAAGACAGUUGUGGCAUCUAAGUGAGCAAAUGUAGUAGCAGGCGCAGGAUCUGUCAAGUCAUCAGCAGGCACAUAAAUAGCUUGGACAGAAGUAAUGGAGCCUUUUCUUGUGGUUGUGAUACGCUCUUGAAGGCCUCCAAGAUCUGUAGCCAAGGUUGGUUGAUAACCGACAGCAGAAGGGAUACGACCCAACAAAGCAGACACUUCAGAGUUGGCCUGAAGAUAUACAAAGUUAAGUUGAAAGUAUUCAGGAGAAGUACAGGAAAAUGACAUGAAUUACAAGCAUGAUCAUGUAUUUCUCUUAAAGGCAGAAUAUAGACUUAGUUAAUAAGGGCCAAGCAGCAAAAACUAGCAUGAAAAUUCCAUUACAGAGGUGCACCCACCUGGGUAAAACGGAAAAUAUUAUCAAUGAAGAGAAGCACAUCCUGCCCUUCAGCAUCUCUGAAGUGCUCAGCCACUGUCAAACCUGUCAAUCCAACACGAGCACGAGCACCCGGGGGCUCAUUCAUUUGACCAUAGACAAGCGCACAUUUGCUUUCAGCCUAGACAUUCAUCAAAACAUCGACACAUUGAUAAACAGGGUUGAUAACCUGAUUAAAAAAUACUAGUCUACAAAUAAUACUAAUGUAUUUACCUGCUUAUCACCAAGCUUAAUAACACCACUCUCCAUCAUUUCCCUAUAUAGAUCAUUACCUUCUCGAGUUCUUUCUCCUACACCAGCAAAGACAGAAAAACCACCUGGACAAGGAAAAAGAGCACAAUGCAAAUGUUAAACUAAGAAAACUAGAAAAUUAACCACUGAAGCCAGCAUAUCUCCUAAAACAACCAACCAUGGGCUUUUGCAACAUUGUUGAUCAGUUCCAUGAUAAGCACAGUUUUUCCAACUCCAGCACCACCAAACAAUCCAAUCUUGCCUCCCCUUUGGUAUGGUGCAAGCAGAUCAACCACCUGAAAGAAUAUUUAAAAGAGGGUAAACUCAUUAUACCUCUCAAACUUACACAGCCUUGACAGUUAAUCAAAUAGAGCAAAUGAAAUUACAUUUUCUAAGGAUAUAGGAUAGGCUUAGGUAUGAAAAAUUGUCAUUGUGGCAUUACCUUAAUUCCAGUAACAAGAAUUUCUUGUUCAGUAGACUGCUCAACAAAGUCUGGAGCCUCGCGAUGGAUUGGCAAAUAGUGUUCAGUUUCUGCACAAGUAUUAGUUGAUUUGUAAGACACAACCCCUUCUAGGAAACAAGCUGCAGUUCACAUCAUGCAAUGGCAAAAAGUUUACUUACUGAUUUCGCCUCUCUCAUCAAUAGGUUCUCCGAUAACAUUUAUGAUUCGUCCAAGAGUAGCUCUACCAACAGGCACCUACCAGUAGAAGGAACUUGUGAAUCAAAAUGGUAUGAUCACCACUUAAAGCACAUCACAACUCGAAGAACUAUAGUAAGGAUAUACCCCAGAAGAAACUGCAGACAUAAAACCCAUUAAAAUGAACAAAACAUUGCACCUAUUUCCGUUAUGAAUAAGAAUUAGUUAGUUCAAUAGCUCAAGAUUCUGACUUUAUAACUAACCAGCAGCAAAUACUUGGAAAAGGUCCCAAACAACAAAACAAGAUUUGCAAUGCCCCAAAAUUCCUUUCCUUUCCCACAAAACCCCUCUCACACGUCAAAACAAUUUUAAGGACUUUUCAAAUAUGACCUUUCAUCUUCCAUUAUCCAUAUUAUAUCUACUACUAUCCACGACAAGCAUAAGGUAACAACUCUAUUCACCAAUCAUACGACCGUCGUCCAAUACAAUCUAAUUUUUUCCAGCUUUCAAGGACCGUCAACUGAUUGAUUUGGGUUUAAGGUUCAGCCACCAAUUGAGACCAUUUCACAUAUCUCCAGUAACUUAACAAAUCGUUUCAUCGCACAUACCAUACAUCCUCACAUUAUCCAAAGCAAAAUGUACAGAUCCUACCCCAAAAUCCACCCAAACCUUCUAAGAGGAUUCAAUUCCCAACCCAAGAUUUCCAGAUCUCACAAUAAAAUAACCCAAAAACCCCUCCAAACUAACCCCAUUUUCAAAAACGAACCCAUAAAACAUCUUCAAAAAUCAAGUCUUUUUCUCAAUAAAUCCAUCACUCACAGUAAUAGGAGAGCCCGUGUUGAGCACGGCCUGGCCACGAACAAGACCUUCAGUACCAUCCAUAGCAAUACACCUAACAACAUUCUCCCCGAGAUGCUGAGCCACCUCAAGCACGAGCCGGAUCUGAUUAUCGAGCACCUCCAACGCCGUCAAGAUCGGAGGCAAUCCAUCCUCGAAUCUAACAUCAACGACGGCACCGAUCACCUGACAAACUUGCCCAAUAGCACCUCGUCCAGUAAAAUCAUCAGUUAUCUUCCCACCAGUUCCGCCGGCCGGCUUAGUGGAAGGAGCGGAAGCACUCGACGAGGCAGCAGCGGAGGUAGCGUAGUGGGCGGCCCGGUUAAGUAAAAAGCCGGCCGGGGAAGGUCUUGUGGAGGAUUUGGCGGCGGAAGUGAAUGAAGAGGAUGUACGACGGAGAGAGGACGUGGAGGAACGGAGGAGUGAGGCAAUUAGCCUCCGAGAAGCCAUGAUGGUGGUGGCGUUAGGGUUUGGUCAAUAGAGAGAGAGAGAAACAGAAAGAGAGAUGAGAGUAGAGUAGAGAAAGAGGAAGAGUGAAUAGGGUUUGAGGAGAAAUGUAUAACUAGCGAGAUUAGCCUGAGAGUGAGAGUGUAAUGAUUGUAGAAAAGUAACCUUGGAGCUGUUUUUACUGCGGUGAAAAAGUGGUAUUCCCCCAGAAUAUUCUCAUUCCCAGAUGAGCUCCUAAAUAUGUGAUUAUGCAAAUACCAUUGGAUAACUAAUUAAGCAAAUUAUUAUUGGAAUAUGAGUUUUAACCACAUCUGGUCCAUGGUUUUAGAUUUCGAGAGCGAAAGAUUAGGAUCACUAACAUACAUUCAGUGUUUAGGUUAGACUAAUUUUGGUGCACGAGUCUUAUGAGAUGUUAUGUGCAGUAAAAAAAUGUCCAAUUAAUUACUUUGAUCAUCUUUUGGUACUAAUAAAAAUAUAUGGUCUAUACAACAUGAUGUUUGCAUAUUACAUAUUAAUUACUUACAUUUAACAUGUAAACUAAAUUAUACUAUAUUGGCAUAUAUAUAUAUAUAUAUAUAUAUAUAUGUAUGUAUAUCACAUACUGCUCUUUAUCUUAAUAUAUAUAUUUGCUUUUAGGGGGGAUUUUGUCCUAGUAAUUCUAAAUUCUAGUGUACUUCAUGCCUCAUGGUCAUGUUUACAAGUUGCCCUAAUAGUGGUCGACAACUUUACAGAAUUUGCAUUGCAAAUUACAAGCGAGAAACAACCAAAUACAGUAAGAUAUCACAAGAUGUCAUCAAUUUUAAUGUAUUCAUGGUUUUUAUGAUAAUGUAGCUUGAGUAUAUAUAUAGAGCAAGCAUAAGAUCAAGAAUAGAAGGAUUUCUUUCGAAGGCAAAAUCUUGGAGGUAUAAAGUUAUUUCCUUGUAGGACUUAAAAGACAAAUAAUCACUGGGCCGGUAACCCUUGCCUCCUACCAAAAAUAUCACAUUUCAGUGGCCUGUCUCCAAAAAAAAUCAGGCGAGUGUGCUGUGCACCCGUCUGAUCCGGUGAUGGUUCAAUUCCCUCCGGCUUAUUCCUGGACCUCCUUAGGCCCGCCUCCUUCCCCUUAGUAUAGGAUAGAUUAGGUUUAUCGUCUCCGAAAAAAAAAAUAAAGACAAAUAGUUUCAGGUCUACAAUUUUUCUUUUUAUCUUAAUCCAUUUAUGCUCAUAUAUUUUAUGGAUUAAUCUUUUAUACACUGACAGUUUAUACAUCAUCAUCAUCAUUAGAUGCAUGACAACUCAUCUGAAUUUAAAUUUUAUUUAUGUGUCAUGCAUGCAUCCAAUGUUGAUAAUAUAUACACUGUCAGUGUAUAUAAAAUUUACUCAUAUUCUAUUUAUUGACCAACGGAGAAAAAAUUGGAUUUAAAUUAUAUCCACUAGUCUAGCGGUAUUGUGAUGAAUUUGUGUUGUGUGUCCAUGAUUGAAAAGAAAACAAUAGGCGAUCUCAUAGUUCGUUUGAGCCAUCUGAACUCUGAAGCAUCAUCCCCUUGGCCAUUGGUUAUUUGGUCGGUAUCUCAGAAAGAAAUAUUCCUCAUUUGAUGGUGCAGAUGACAGGAAAAUCGGCUUCUUCUUUUUUUUUUUUGGCAUUUGAUUGGUUUACAAAGCAGUUGAGAAUUUCAAACUUCUGCAUGCACUUCUUACGCACUGCUAAAGUCACAUCAAGAUUUCAGGAAAAAAAUUCUUGCGCACUUGGAACAAGUUUGGUACGUAGCUAGUAACAGAAGGUUAAAUCCAACACAUUUCAUGAUUAAUCAUUUGCUUUUUCUUUGAUUAGCCUCUAGGAAUGUCUCUGUUGAAUCACAAUAUCUAUUGCAGCAGCAAGGGGUGAAGCAAUCUUGAACAAGUGCUCUGUCUCUUGGAUAAGAUGCUGCAACUUCUUGUUAAGGGAACAAGUUGUGAGACUGAUUCAAUAUCAACUUCUUCAAUCCUUUAUGUCAAGCAAUUUGCAGGCCCCCCCCCCCCCUAAUAUACUCUAGAGUCCAGCCAUAAGACUCGAAAGAUUUUCUAAUAGAAACAUGACAUGAUGGCUGCUUAUCCAUUUUCCUCGAUCAUCCCAGAAUAAGUCUAGCCUCUCUUGGGCUGCUUUUAGCAGCACCAUCCGUUUUCAAUUUCAGUGUACCUAGAGGAGAACGAGACCAAUUAACUAACGUGGGUUCAUUAAUAAAAGCAUUGGAAUGAUUGGAAUUAAAAGCUUUACAGUUCUAGCAAAGGUUAGUUUGCUAUCCAUGUGUACUCAACAAUACUAGGAAUUAUAAAGAUACAGUGCUCUAAGAGAAGGCCUGCUGGAUUUGCAUAGCUGUUGCCCAAAUAAUCAGGAAGAGCUCUUUUGGGAUUAGGAUACGCAACUAGAGGAGACCUUUCCCAACUCUCAGUUCACUUUAGCUGUAAGGCUUCCUAUUCGGCUGAACCCUGCUCCUAUCUCUAUAUUGUGCAUAUGCCAGCCAGCGGACUAAAGCAUGAAGUAUGAACGAUGGGUACACUAGAACUAUACGAAAUACAUUUUCAGGAUAAUUCUUGCUGUUAGGUUUAAGGUUCAAAUUGUGGAACUAGCAAUUUGGAGUAGAAAGGAUAUGAAGAGGGGUGGAAGGAAAAAUUUUUUUAAAAAAAAAAAGUCAAUAAAUGUCCUAUAAAGUGCCAGUUAUCAAUGAAGGACGGUAAAUUUAGACUUUCUAGGCUAUGAAACACGACUAGUAGUACCUAAACGUGUUUCUAGACUCUUAGGAUAUUCUAUGCCAAAGAACUCAGUAAUACCUAAACAAGACCAAUUAACUAAUGUGGGUUCCUUAAUAAAAACAUUUGAAUUAUUAGAAUAAAAAGCUGUAGAGAUCUCCCUUAGUUCUAGCAAAGUUUAGUUUGCUAUCCAUGCAUACUCAAUAAUACCAGCAAUAAAGAGAGUGCUCCAAGGGAAGGCAUGCUGGAUUUGCAUGGUUGACAUUAAAAGUCAGCCACUGAAGUUGGCCUAAAUUUUAUUUAUUUAUUUAUUUUUUUUGUCUGAUGGAGGAGGUAUUCAGGCCAUCUGGUAAAUCGGACCCAACUAAUCCUCCACUGGUCCAGAAGGAGAGGCUCCAUCCCCCCAAACACAAUAAUCAUGGGACUCGAACCCUGGCGGAUGCUGAACAACGGCUCCUAAAGAGGCGUGUCGUGACCAAUCAAGCUACCCAUGAGAGGCCACUGAAGUUGGUCUAAUUGCUGUCAGAUUUUGGGUUUAAAUUCUAGACCUAGUGGCUGGAAUGGGAAGGGUGAAGGAAAGACAUUAAAAGUCUAAAGUGCAGGUUAAAAUGAAGAACCACUGUAUCUAGUAGUCUCGGGUCGGAAAUUCGACACUCAUUUAUGGUGAAAGAGUUUUAAAGGAGAUGUCAAAACAUCCAUUUAAUUUAGUCAAAUCUAUAUACCUACUAACCUCUUACACAAUCUCCCUAUAGAAUAAGUUAUACAAAGGUUAUAGUUGUCGGGAAAAAAAAUAAAAGAUGGAUUGUCAUACAAAUUGUAUGGGAAAAAAAAAGUUAAAAUGAAGGAUUGUAAAUUUAGACUUUCUAGACCAUAGCGCACAAUUAGUAGAGGACCUAAACAUGUUAUUGGACUCUGCGGAUUAUUUCAUGCCAAACAACAUGUGUUGUGACCCAGGCCAGUAAUUGGCCAUGUCCAAUACAAAAACAUUAAUCAAGUCAAGUCAUAGACCAUCUAUUUUUGACCCAAUCCCGCCCAUUUUUAGUCAUGCAGCUUGGAUUUGGCGGGUACUUUUUCUCAAUUGCAAGUUGCAACUCCCGCCAAAAUCCCAUAACAAUUUAACAAGAAUUCGUAAAGCAAGUUGAAUGCUUCGUUGAUUUCAAUCUAAAAUCCCUAUCUGGAAUUCGCUUCAUAACCUUCUACAAUUGGGAUUUUCAUCUUCUCAUAAAAAAAAAAUCCGGUUUUUCUUCUCAAACAAGAUAAAUUUCAGCAAUAAGCAGAGGAGCUAGCUUUCAUUUUAGGGAAAAACGAAGAAAUGAGCGCUGUCAAUAUCACAGAUGUCACAGUUCUGGGUAAUCCGGCGCCGUUUUUGAACCCUCUCCAAUUUGAAAUCUCCUACGAAUGCUUGGUUCCCCUCAAAGAUGGUAACCUUUCUGUCUACCUUCCUCAAUUUCCUCACAGAUGCUUAUUUAUCUCGUUUUUUCUGUUAUUUGCAAGAUUAUUUGCUUAUUUAUGCAUUUAUGCAUUUGACGUGUUGAUAUUUGUGAAUCGAGGCUAUGUGAUGAGGUUUGAUGCCUGAAAAAGGAACCCUUUUGCAGAACCUUCAAUUGAGGCUUACUUUCCUUGAGACUGUUGAUUUUUCUUUUCAUCUCUAGUUUAGUUAUCGUAUUUAUGGUAAGAAAUUUUGUCUAAUAUGUAAUGAGACUAGCUGAACAAAUUAGAAUUUGAAUAAAUGAAGUUUAGUUGGAUUAGCUUAUCGCUUGUACCAAUUGCCAUGAUAAUGCAUUUCUUUGAAUAAUAUUUUUAGGUGUUUAUUAGCCUUUAUUCAUAUUGAGGUGGAAGUUUGCUAAGGUUUUAUCAUGUGCUAACGCUGUAAAAGGUUUCUGGAUACUAAAUGUGUUGUUAAUCAGGUUCGUAUAUAGGAAAGUUCAGGGCAUGUAAGUUAACCAGGGGUUUAAUUGCUGGUGGUUUCGUGUGCUUUCAUGAAGUCUAUUUUGGCUGAAUAUCUGUUUAACGAAGAAAACAAUCCCUAGGCUAGAGAUUGCUUGCUCUAUCUUGCAAGUGUAUGCUGACUCCGCAGGGAAACUAAUGAAUUCUUGUUGGUGAAUCCCAAGUAUGAAGAAUGUAUAAGAAUAAGGCUUGACAUGCUUUUUUAGUAGACAGCAUGUUGUCUGCUUGUCACCCAAUUUGUACUGGUUUUAUGAAAUGAGCCAAUGGAAAUAGCUAUUUCAUGUAUGGAAAGGCUUGGAAUGGGGUUCAGUGGGCUGGUAAUAAUACCGCAAAUUUUGUUUUUCGUUGCACCUUUUGUAUGAAAAUGAAAUUAUAUUAGCCCAGAUAUUCUUCAUUCAUUAGAGAGAUGCUUGUGAAGCUGUCUUAGUAAUGUCAUUGAAGUAUUACUUCAGUCAGUCAGCAAGUAGAGCUAACUCUUUCGUUACCAUGUAAUCGAGGAUCUAGUAUAAAUUUCUGAUGACAGUGGAGUUAGAAGCUAUUCUUCUAUACGACCUGUUGCCAUUAUUUCUGAUGAUAUGGAGUGUGUACUUUAAUGGACGUCUGACACUCGUUAAGUUGGUGUUUUGAAUCAAGUUUGUCUGAAAUGAAUUAUUAUCGCAUUACAAAAGUGAACAGAAGUAGUUGUCUGUGUAGAGGAGAACCAAUAUAGAAUUCAAAUAUGGUGUAACUGAGGAUUUUUUUUUUUGUGGUUGGUGGGGGUGUGAGGGGUUCUCUAAGGGAGUAUGCUCUCAAUACGUGAAACCAUAUGCGUGUAAGUGGUACUGUCUCAGCAGUUUGGAUACUUGGGCGAACUUCUCUUAUCUCUUUUUUUGACCUACCACGAAAAUUAUGGUUGUAAUUGCAAGAAUUAAUGUAACUAUAGUUUGCUAUCUUCUAAUUUUUGUCAACUUGUAGAUUUGGAAUGGAAACUAACUUAUGUAGGAUCUGCUGAGGAUGAAACAUAUGACCAGCUACUAGAGAGUGCACUUGUUGGACCAGUUAAUGUUGGCAAGUAUCGAUUUGUUUUUGAGGUAACUUAAGCCAUCUCCUAGGUAGUUCAGCAGUUGACCUUUCCUUUGGAUUGCUUCUGCUGAGUUCUUACUCUGCUUCUUUUGGUUUUCCCAUUGUGUGAGACAGGCAGAUCCACCGGACCAAGCGAAAAUUCGUGAAGAGGAUAUUGUUGGUGUCACAGUAAUUCUGCUGACAUGUUCUUAUGUUGGACAAGAAUUUGUUCGAGUGGGAUAUUAUGUUAACAAUGACUAUGAUGAUGAGCAGCUAAGAGAGGAGCCACCUCAAAAGGUUUUGAUUGACAGGCUUCAAAGGAACAUUCUGGUUGACAAGCCCAGAGUUACAAAGUUUCCAAUAAAUUUUUAUCCCCAUAACGAUGAUAAUGGUGAACAGCCCCAGGAAUAUUCUACUGACACUGCUACAGGCAUUACUCAUGUGGAAGAACAAGUUUCAUCGCCUGAUCAUCAGUCUGAGGUGCAACUUCCUUGAGUCCGAGCACUCAGAUUUUUGCUAGAUGUCUUCAGCAAAUGUUCAAGUUACAAAAAAUAUAGUUCUACCAUCAGAAUUUAUUGCAGGAAGAAAGCACCUGCAGUAGCUGUUCCAAGGAUUGCUAUCCAACUUGUCCUUCAUUAUACUUUAAGGGUGUCCAGCGAAAUUGUUCAAUUCACCUGUCAAUUUGACAAUUUUUUUGUGGGCUAUAAUGUCACAAUCUCCUUCAAGUGAGGAAUGAUGGUGGGUAUAAUCUAGCAUUUCCAUUCCCAUUAAAAAUCUCCUCACUCAUGUCGAUCAAUCUACAAAAGUCCCAUUUAAAGUUCUCUCUUGCACAAACAACGUGUAUUUCCAUUCCCAUUCCCAUUUGAAGUUCUCUUUUGCACAAACAACGUGUAGUGACUCAGCAAAGGUAUCAAAAGGGGCUCUUUUAAACUCCCAUUAUUCACAGCCUUAGACUUCCUUAACGAUUUAUUAAGUUUGCCCCUGACAGCUGAAUGCAAUAUGUUCUCAUAUUUAGUUUUGAUCUUUAAAGACGAUACAAAGUGAAAAAUAAAGGGAAAAAAUUGAUGCUCAAAACCGUUAAGAAAAACUAACAUUGAUCUUUGAAGACGAUACAAAGUGAAAAAAAAAAAAGCGGAAAAAAUUGAUGUGCAAAACCGUUAAGAAAAACUAACAAUCCGACAGUGGUUACCCCCCCCCCCCCCCGCGGGGCCUCUUCCUUUGUUUUUCCUUUUUUCAGUUGAGGAUAAAGUAAAAUUUGUUAUAGGGUAAUUGGCGUGCUGAAAACCAUAGUUGGCCAUCAAGAGAGUUACUUGGAUGUUGGUCAAGGGGUCGAAUCUCUUGAUCUAUAUUCUAAAAAUUCAGGACUUCCUGAAAUGUUUCACCAGCGGAUGCAUAGGCACCCAUCUAAACCGGUGGUAGUUCAGUUCCCCCAAAUUCUCCCUAGUCCCGUUGGAUCAACCCCCUCCUUAUAGUAUAGAGUAGAAAUAAAUCUAUCAUAUCCGGGGAAAAAAAAAUUGCCAUGUUGAAUUUUCCUUUUUAUGUUGGCACUGAACAAGUUACUUACAGAUGUAACUGGGUACGACCUUGUUUUCAUUAAUCUUUAGAAUGGUAGAUAGCUUAGAUUGAUUUUCCAAAGAAUUAUGAGGAAAUUAUCUACACAAUUUUUCUCUUAAUUUUUUGACAAAAGCCAUUGUAUAAGAUUAAUCUAACAUACACACACAAAAAGAAAAGAAAGAUUAUUCUAACACAAAUUAAAAUUAGAAUACAUUUUCUAAUUGAUUACAAUUUUCAAGAACUUAUUAAUUGCCUCACAUGUUUGACACUUUAUAAUGCAUUCCAAAUUUAUUUUGCAUUUUUGGUUCAUGAUUAAUUGUGCUAGUCGUAUGAGAGUGAAUAAAUUAGUGGCAUGGUCUUUACCAUAUCUUGUCACGUUUUGGUAUCUAGCGCUUAUUACCAGAGACUUAUCCUAUGCCAACCAGGAUUUAGAAACUUACCAUAUAGGAAACCAGGCACUAUAUAUAUGUAUAUAUAUACACCAUAUACAGGCUCUCACCAUUCAUUUGUUCUUUCGUUUCUUUUAGAUAGUGUUUAGUUGCAAGGAAAGUGAAGGCUUGUUUAAACUUCUUGGAUAGAUACUAUUGAAUUACUAGUGCAUUGAUUAGAGACUUAUACAUUGAAAUAAAAAAAUACAUUCAUUUGCUAAAAUAUUACCUAAAAGGAGCAUAAAAUAAGUAAUAACUUAUUUAAUUGCAUAAUUAUUUCAAAAAAAAUAAAAAAAAAACUAACAUGAAAAUAAAGUUGAAUGCAUAUACUUUUAUGCUAUUACAUCUAAGUAAUUUAUUCAAAGUCAUACCCUAAAAAUAAAGAAAACACAAAAAUACAUCACUGUCAAUAAACUAAAAAUUAUUUUUUUUAUUAAUGAAUUGGAAAUUCUUAUUAGUUACUAUUCUAAUGAGACUCAGACUUUCAUAAGGAAUUUAAGAAAUCCUCACUAUAGUCGUCGUCAUCAUCAAUCCUGUUUGAGCCGCCAAUGUUAUAAUACCUCUUUAAAUAUAUAAUUAUCUUAUCUGGUGGAUAAGUUAAAAAUAUCUUUGGUUUAGUGUCAUUCGUCACAAGAUUCUCAAAACUUUCGUAAACACAAUUUUCAUUCAAACCUUCGAUCAACUGCCUUUAUGUCAUUAAGCAAAGUAGAUGGAUUGAUAAAUGCUUGUUCAUUUUUUCUAUCAAUUGCUUCUGCCAUUUGCUUGAUACUUGAUAAAACUGUAUUCAUGGUCUGAAUGCAGGUUUUGGCAUUUUUUGCACCAUGAGUUUCAUCCUUAUCAGUUGUGUUUGAGGAUAAAGCGCCCCUUAACAGCAAUUUGUUGGGGAGUUUCUUUAAUUUGACCGUUAUAUUCACCUCCAUCUACUUCCAACUCAUUUUCAUCUAUGGUUCCAUUUUUUCUCAUUUUGUUUUGCAUUGAUAUCAGGACGGCCACGACAUCAUUCACCAGUUGCUACAUCGCUUCCACAAACGAUUCCCAAUUCUUCAAGCAUUUCAAUGCAUUUAUGUCUUAAAUUUUUUACUCUUGGGCGUGCCUAUAAAAAGAACAUAUAAAAUUAUGUAAAUUUUAAGAAUAAUUUUAAUAAAUAAACAUAACUAGAACAUAUAGAAUACGAGUUACCUUUACAUAUGUUUCCCAUACUUCAUCUGUGCAUUCCACUUUCUUCGUUGUAGAAUUAAAAAUAAAUCCGCUUUGAGACAACAUUUGCUCAAUGUCUCUAUAAACCCUUUUGAUUGAUUUCAUACAAUUUAUCACAUUAUCCUUGUUGACUUCAAUAUUAAAUUCUUUUUUCAAAGCUUUAGCCGGCAGCAACAUAUGCUACGUAUUUGAAUCCUUUAUUGCAUGACUCGUUUCCUUCGUGGCAUUGAAUGGCAAGACCGUCCACCAAGCUUUUAUCCAUUUCAGCGGUUCAUAUUCAAUUUUUUUUGCUUGUCUUGAUAUGAUUGAGUAGCAUUAUUAAAUUUUUUCAUAGUUCUUCAAAAAAAUUUAUCCGUUGACAUUUUCCCAUGACUUGUUUUCCCAUGAUUUUUGCGGGAUGAGGAAACUUGGUAGUUAUGUGAAAAUUUUUUUCUUAUGGAUCCUACUGCUUUCUUGUCAAACAAAUGGCAAAAAAUUGCAAGAAUGAUAUCUUCCCUCACUUUUCCUGUAACAUUCCUGUCAACCAAACACGACAAUUCAAAUUUUCCUAUAUUAUUUUCCUGUCUAUCAAACACAAAUAGAAAACUUUAGUUUCCUUUUUCUUUACAUCACUUCACUUUACUUUUCUCGCGACGUACCUUUUUGCACAACUUUCUUGUCAAACAAACAGAGCGUUAAUGUCAAUUAACAUAGGAGUUUUUUGCUAAAGUAAUUCAGUUCUAGAAAAAUAUUCCCAAGAUAACACAAUUGAAAUAAUAUACCGUUUCUAAUGUAUUUGAUGCUACAUGGAUUUCUAGUGCAAAAUAUUGAAUCAAAUUUCUACUUCUACAACUACACGAUACCCAUCUUUAUUCUAUACUCUUGUCUUUUUUUUUUUUUCAGCAUUAUAGGAGAAAUUUUAUUAAAUGUGCUGCACUGAAUCUACUUAAAAAUAAUGAUAAUCAUUCCAAACUUCAUUGUUACAAAUUAUUGUUCUUUAUAUAGAAUUUUAAUGGGGUAAAUUAUUUGCCUUUGUUUUACUAUUGGUAAUAGGAUGAUUAUUUUUUAAGCAAAAAAAAAAAAAGAUUUUGAAAUUGGGCAUGCAUUUUCCUCUUCUUUUGUUAUCAAGGUGGUAUCUAUCAUUGUAUGACCAUACAAAUUAUUUCAAGCAUUUUGGGUUGUCUUGAUAUUUUUGUCUAAAUUUAAUGCACCACUGAUCAAGCACUCAAGACAUGGUUUUCAAUUUUUUUUCCAAUAUUACCCCCAUAAAAAUUCCCAUAUAUCGGUUUCUAGCUUUUGAGUUGAUAUUUUCCUUUUUUUUUUUUUUCCUUCCCUUCCUACAAAGAUAUAACCUUUUUUUCCUCCCUUCCCACAAAGAUAUAUCCUUGUACAAUUAAUUGUUGUCAAGUGACUUUUUCCUUUUUUUAGUCCCUCCAUUCUUAGUGAGAUAUGCCUACAUAGAAUAAAUUUUUAUUGGCGUUUUGUUCCAUAUUACUUUGUAAGAAGAUUUAUAGUUAUUUAAUCAGGAUUAGAAGUGACUAAGAAAAGGUAAAGUAUAAUUAAGAAAAGAUUGGAAGCCUUUUGAAAAGGGAAAAUAAAGGAAAUUAAGUUUCAAAAGUCUUAUGUAGAUUAUACAAGUUAUUAUAAAGGGAAUAUGAUUUAAAAGUGUAUUAUUAUGGGAAUAAUUUUUAAAAACAAAGUUAUUUUAGUAAUCCUAAGACCAAUAGGAUUUGAAAACUUACCAGAAACCGGGAGUUACAACAAUGUAUCGUAAGCAUCCCCGUUCUUUUCUUUUCUAUAUUUUUGUGGAUUAUUUUGAACUUAUAGGGAGAGAAACAUGGAGGGAAAGCUGAUUGUAGUUAGAAAGUUGUAUGCAUACAAUUUAAGGGCAGAUUUUCCAUCAUUGAGCAAAAUCUUGCAACUUAUCGCUUCAUAGCGGUAGAUACAGAGUUUCCAGGAGCAAUAUUUCGCAGCCAAAAACCUUAUCACCUGAAGAAAAUUACCAGUUGAUGAAAGAGAGUGUCAACAGUCUAAAACUUCUUCAGUUGGGCCUUACGCUAUCAGACUCGAGUGGCAAGCUUCCUAAUUUGGGUACUUAUAGUUAUUUCAUAUGGGAAUUUCAAUCUUUUGAAAGCACAUGAAAUUGAUUUUGUCAAGAAUUUGGUUCAUGGCAUCAGUUUUGUAGAUUUUGCCAAGUUUUUUUUUAUGGAAUCAGGGUUGGGAUUUUCUUUAAGAUCAUUCACAGAGUGCAAAAGAGAGUAUGAUCCUCACAAACUAACGUGGGUGUUCUUUCAUAUGACAUGGGCUACCUUAUCAAAGUUCUAACUCAGCAAGAUUUGUCAAAAAAUCACGUUAGAUUCAUGGCCUUAGUGAUGAUCUAUCUUGGGACUUUAUGGUUGAUGCUUACCUUCCUUUUAUGGUUCCUCCAAUUUCAGACAUGUGGACUGCCACUUGAUAAGAAAGUUGAAGCAGGAGAACAAAAAAACUGCAAACGGGCUUCCUUUGUCGCAGUGAAGCAAGGGCCAUCUGACAAUUACAGUUCUAGAAGUGAUUAGGGAUUCUUUUACUAACUCCCUUUUGUUCUGGUGAUUAUUCCUCUGGUAUGCUGCAACUUUGAAUUCUAUUCACUGCCAUUCUUGCCUACAGACCAGACAAAAAGGGGAAAAGGAGAAAAAAUGUCAUUAAGUUAACUUAAGAAGUAAAUAGGCAAGUCCCUGUGCAAUAACAACACAAUCAAGUUAAUGCAGAAGACAAGACUGAAAUAGUGCCUCUUGAUGAAGAUCAUUUCGAGUAUGUUAAGCAAAAGUACCAAGUCCUUUACCCAAUGACCAUACUCAAAAUACUCUGGUAAAGUAGACUAGUAUGACACAGGUCCUACUACUAAGUGUCCCUCGAAAUUCUUACUUUUUGCCACAAUUAUCAAACCACCCCUUUCCCUUUCCUGUUUCCAACCUGUCCAGAAUUUCCUGAUUUCCACCCUACCAAUCUCUCAAAGCAUGGAGAUGGCAUCCUUCCCAGCUUCCAAUAUGAGCCUUGGUCUGACUCCCACCCUCCCAGAAUGGCUCAAUAAUCCAAAUACUCCAAUCCUCUAUUUUGGGCAUCUCCAGGCUAGACUGACUGAUCCCUUACCGUAACUUCUGAUCCCACUUCAUCCACUGAUCACCUCUGUUGAGGGUUUGACAGCAGUCAUAGCUGUGGUUCAAAUCACCCCUCCUAAGUCCUAGCCCUCAUCAUGUUCCUCUUAAUCCAUCCAGCAUGAUCCCUGCCACACCCUCUUCCCCAUCCCUCAAUGUGGGUAAUUUGUGAUUAUCAAUCAACAAAACUCCUUAGCUUUUUGUGGGAGACAAAAUUUGUCUAAAGAACGCAAACUUGACCAAUGUUAACUUUGUGAAACGUGUUGAAUAUUGGGUAAAAGUUAACUAUUUGCCAAAACAGUUAUGAAAUUCACAAAACUGAAAUCAGUUUGUAUACUAAUUUAAGUUGGAUUUUAUUGCAUAUAGAAUAAACAUUCGGUUACAAGUUACUCCACCUAAUUUGGUCAUUAUCCAAAAAGAAAUACUUGUUAUGCUACAGUAAAAAUCUGCCAAAGGCAUACCUCAUUAUCCCAAUCAGUGCACAGGUUUACUGUAACAAGCGCUACAACUUGCACUGAAAGGCCACAUAUGAUUCCCAUCCAAAGUCCCUGCAGGCAGUUAAAACUUGAAAGUGUCAAUCGUCGAAGGCACAAAAUUUUCAAAAUCCAUUGAUAGGAGUGGGUGGGGGAAGGGGAUACCAUGCCUCCAAUGUGGAAGAAGAAUGCAAGCAGAACAGCUGAAGGUAUUCCUACAAUAUAAUAAGCUCCAAGGUUGAUAAAUGCACAGAGGUUUUGCCAUCCACAUCCUCUUGCAGCCCCUAGAAGUAAUUGGCAAACAUCAAAGAAACAUUCUGGAGAUUGCCAUAGCAGGCAAUGAAAAAGAAAUUCCAAGAUAUGCUUUUACGGUAUAAGCAAAACUUAGCAACCUGAUAAGACACAUUGGAAUCCAUCAAAGAAGUCAGAUAGUGCAAGGAGAGGCAACAUCUUAGCCACAUAUCUAACCACCUCUUCUUCAUUGCUAUAGAGCUUUCCCCAUAUAUGCCGAACCAGAAUGGUUGUUGUUCCAACAAUUGCGCCCUCUGUAAGGGCCACUAUGACUACCACACCCAAUGCUAAGCGCGCGCCUUGUGGAUUUCCAGCGCCCAAUUCAUUUGAAACUCUCGUACUAAAAUGAUUACAGGGUAAAAUCAUUUUCAACCAGCUAAAUGCAUGGAAAACAGUAAUCAAGAAAAAUAGUUCGAUCCUUGAGGUAUCCGUUAAUUAAUGUCAUUGUUAAAACCUUCUGUCAUUGUUAAAGCUUAAAAGCAUGAUAAGAACUUUGAUUGGGUUUACUAACCUUAUGGCAGCACCAAGACCGACAGAGAUCAUAUAGACCAUCCAACAUGUAUUGAGGCUGUCAGAACAAGAAAAAACAACUGAUGUAAUCAGAAAAGACUAGUAUAUAACGUCUUUCAAGUGCGCCUGAAGCUUUAUUUCUGUGAGCUAGUAUAACAUCUUUCAAGUGCUGUAAUCUGAUAUAUUAAGUUCAGUAAUAGAGACAAACCUGAUAGAUAGGACUGAUGUUUCUAGCUUUGGAUUUGGCAAAAGACCAGAUAAUAGAACAACCAUCUCAAAUGACCAAUACUCCAAACUGUGGCUCAAACAAAUAAUGAUAAAUUGUCAACUAAAGAAAAAUGUUGGGCAAUACAUGAUAGAAUAACCAAAAAAGAAGGUGGGGAACAAAACACGUGCAUCCAUUGUUCCUUGAUCUGUACACAUGCUUCGUGGAAGGUCCUUUCGGAGAUGCAUAAAAGCUUCUCACCAAACAGUGCUAUACAUGCUUCAGUAUGACAAUAUCCUCUGUUUUUAGGUUAGGUGCCAGUACCAUACAACUUACCAAAUCAUGAUAGCUGAAGGAAUUGCAAGUUUUAUAAAACUGACGAUACCAAGCAAGGCCUCUUUAGAGAAGCCAGUCCAAGUACUUGAGCAAGCUGGUGAAAACUUGAUGUACGCCGUCAGCAAAAACACAUUAACCCAAUAUGAUAUGCCGUUUGCAAGAGCAGCUCCUCUGUUUCCAAAUCCAGUUUUGAACACAAGAAACCAGCAUAAAAGAACAUGAAAUAACGCUGUAAUGCCAGAGCUCAUCAUCAUAGGAAACACAAUAUUUUGAGUCUGUAAAAAUCUGUUGAUGCAUUGAAGGAGGGCAUAGGCAAAAAGGCCUGGUAUCAUUGACCGAUUAAAUUUCCCAGCUUCAAUAGAUAUCUCCUGAUCUUGACCAAGAACUAUUAGAAUGUGGUCUGUGUAGAACCAAAUCAAUGCAAGGAAAAUGCUUAACACUAGAAGAACUAUCAUCCCUCGCUGCGUAUAGAUGCCAAGCAUACGAUACUGUUUGGCUCCAUAAGCUUGUCCACAUAGCGUUUCCAGUGCACUUCCCAUUCCUAACUAUCAAAACAUUGUUAGAAUACAAGAUUCCGAGCUAGUGAACACUGAGAUAAAUCGAAAAAGUUUCUGGGCUUUCAACUAGAGACAACAAAAACCAUGUAGUAUGUCAUAACAUAUAUGGCAACUAUGCUUUGCGUGACAUACUGCCUACGAAAUUUGAUCCUUGACACGGCUAUAAUUAUGCUUUUACUGACUAAAGUUGUACUUAUUGGAAUAGUACAUUGAAUUAAGGAGUUUAAUAUGUUCAUUCAAGGGGGGGGGGGGUGUGGGGGUGCACAAUAUUCUCUUCAGUGCAACUAUGCAAGUUAUGGGUGGAGAAAGUUGCUUUCUGCAGUGGAGCAAAACAUGAAGCUAAUUUUCAUCUAUUAGUAACAAACUAUAAUAUUCCUUAAAAAUCCCUCUUGAUUUCUUCUUUAAAUCAGGUUCUGAUAUCAAAACCAAAGAUCGGCAAAAUUCUGGAAGUACAUGAUUAGGGACAUGGGCAUCAAUGCAUUACAUGCCAAUGAAUCUACAAAUCGAUGAUUAUGGCCAUGAUACCUUCCUAUGACUUAUCCACGAGGCUGGCAUAGCGGCAUUCGAACUGCCAAUUUCAUGUUUAAAAUAGCUAUCUGCUACUAAGCUGCUAUCUUUACUUAACAUGAUGAUUAAACAAGGAAUACUUUAGUCAUGACUUCAAAUUGAAUCGCAAGGCUAAUGAAAUUUGAAGCAAAAGACAGGCGAAUAAGGCCAGAUAAUAGAAUUUACUGAUUCUUCUGUAACUAACUAUAAUAUCUAAGUUAAAGAUACAUAAAUCAUCACCAAUUUUGUUAUUUUCUUGAUAAUCUUAGAGCUGAACUAAAAACAAAAUAAAGGGUAAUAAAUGAAAAAAAGAUUUGGAAGGGACAUAGACUUACCAAUACGUUGAAUCCAGUGACUGAAGCAAAGGAAGUAGCCAUCGAAGCACUUGAAAGAGGCAGCUCCCCAAGAUGGCCGACAAACAUGAUCGAAAUAAUUUGUAAACAGUACUGCAGAAUGCUCACUGCAAUCAGAGGCAGUGCUAGUCCUAGCUGCCUCUUUACUUCUUCAAUAAUCUCCCCUCUAUAACAACCUUGUUCAGAUACCUCUCUAUCAAUGCAGUGGCUUCUGCCUUGGCUUGGGAUCAAAGGGGCUACAGGGCUCGAGUCAUAUCUGUCCAUUCUCCUUCUUUUCCCAAUCAAUAAUGUUCUUCAGUCAAGAUUCUCACUCUCUUUAACUGCUUUUGCAAGUCUUUUAUCAAUUUAUGAUGAGAUAAUCAUAUUUCAAGUAUUAAUUGGUUUAUUAUUAAGGCAGUGGCUCCCACUUAAUAUAAAAUGUAAUCCAGCAAUGCUACUGAAGAAUAUUAGGAACUACAGCUGGGAAGAUUUAGACAGCAAGAUUACGAAAAUCUUAGCCUACAAAUGGUGAAAAAAAAAAGAAGAAGCACUGAUUGAAUAUUUGUCAGAUUGACAUUUUGCAUAUAGUAAUCUUCACUGCAAGAUAUCAUUGUAAUAAGAGUACGAAAAUAUGAAAAGAUUCAAUGGUGAUUCACUCUGAUCAACCAAUCAUCGGGAAGGAUAACUCUUUCGCCAACUCCAGUGGAAUUCGUCCUUUACUUUUUGGCAUUUUCUGCUGGACAUGCCACUUGUCGGUUGAUUCAGCCAUGCGAAAGUCUAAUGUUGUCUUGUCAAGAAUUAUAAUAAUUAUGACCCUUUGAGGAUGUUCAAGGCUAAUGCUUGAGUUACAUUCAUUACCCUUUAAAAUAAUUCGUCUUGUCAAUCAUGGAGAUACAUAUAGUUUAAACAAUUGGGGUAAUACUACUUGUCUCUGACACCAUGAAUGCAGAAAAUGUCAAUAUAUGGAUUGCCUUGGAUUGGAUGAGACAAACUGUUUCUUUAGCGGACUGCGUCCCAUCCGCAGAAAAGAGUAUCGCCUGCGCAUUUUGACUUGGAUGGUCAAGUGAAUGGCAAAUUUUGAUUUCUAUCAAAAGGUAGAGUCCAAGUGUUUGAUGAUACUUCCAAGUUUCCGAGAAAUGGCAACAAAUCCACAUAAUAAAGUAUAACAGGAAUUGGCCCAGCCCCCUUCUUUCCUCCUUAAUUUAAUUCUUAUGACCUGGAAGUGUUCUUUACAUCGAUUGAUAUUAUUGUUCUAUAACCAGUGCACCAAACUUGAAAAACUAGCGUAAAAAACAUGAAAAAGUAUAACUGGAGACAUCACAUAAUUCUAGCAAUUAAUUGUACUUAUAUGAGAAGAGAACAUUACUGAUGACAUUAGGAUGAAUUCUUUAAUACAUCUAUACACAUGUACUGCAUCAAAUGUAACUUGCAUAUGCUGAUCUCUAGCCAAGUAACAGUCUUGAUACAUUUCAAGUAGAAAAGCUUAUCCAUAAGUCGUUGAGCAAGUUUUGAGAUGAAAAGUUCAAUCAAAGCACAUGAAAUAGGCAUGCAAAUGACAUAAAAUCUCACUGACUAUCCAUUCACAAUUCAAAUUGCAGAAAGCUAUUUGAGACAGUGGACCAAAAUAGCGCUCCGCUCAUUAAUGCAAUGAGAGAUUUAUAUGAAAAUGAAAGAAAGAAAAAGGAGGACGGGAUUUCUUGGUUUAGAUGGUAAAAACUGAAGACAGAGGCUAUCUAGUUUAUCCUAGAGUCCUGUGAUCUUCUCAUCAUUGUUUCACCACAAAAUAGCGAUGACAGGAGGGCCCUCCAAUGUGAUCACUGACAAUGCAGCAAACAAGCUGAAUGCUCCGUGUUUAGCCAAAUGAUCAACGCAUUGGUUUGCCACUUUAAAGAUGUAUUUUAUCUGGUUUUAAGAAAUCUGCUGACUCAAUGCCUGCUGUCACCAAGAAUGGUAAAAAGCACAAGAGAGUCUGAAUUUAUUUCCUCGAAACAAAUCGGUAGUAAUCUGUGAUACAGAUUCAGCAAUGAGACGUGAGAAUCUUUUCUGCAAAGCAAUCAUUAAUCCAUCUCUUAUCGGCCAAACUUCAGUUGUGUUUAUUGUUGCAGAGCCAAUAUGUCUGCUGAAACCAAGAAUCCAUUCCCCUGUGCGAAAAACUCCCUCAGCACCUGCUAGACUUGUACACAUCCAACAGCUCAACGAUCAGUCAGAUGUUGGUAUGGCAAGGAAUCACUCGGAACAACUGCAAGCAUUAUUAGAGAAAGGAAGACUGGAGAUUCAUUGCAAGAUCAGGCAGAAACAGUGAAGAUGGCUAUGACAAAAGCAGCCAACCAAGGCUAGAGUAGAGGAACAUCCUAAUUGAGAUUGAAAACAAGAAAUUAUUAGGGUACAUUCAGAGAUUAGGCUACAAAGGCAGUCGAAUACCAACAGUUAUAGAUGACAUACAGUCCCUCAGUAGAUUGUUUUUACAGUGCUCUUUUUCUUUUGUUAACAUCGAAAAGACUGAUAGCAUUAUUCAGCUUAGCAAAUAUGCUCUUAGCAUUUGGAUAGAUAAAGAAUGGGUGAACCCCAAUCUUCGGUGCAAAUGCAUCGGUAUAGAUGAUAGGACCUUUGUCCUUUUUGCUUGGACCUUUGUCCAGACUCCAGAUACUCCACAUUUUUGCAAAAAGGAAAAAACUGCUAGAAUUGUCCUACGAAUGAAAGAAUCAUCUAAUAUUUGGCCAUUAUGAAAGGGGCCGGCCGGGAGGAUACAAUAUAAUCAGUCUGUCAUCACUUGUUACAGAGGUAGAACUGUUACAACACAAAGAAUAAAAGGGAUAAUUUCAAAAACCUCCCCCAAGGUUUCUGACUGUUUCACUGACCUCCUCCCAGGUUUCAAAAAUUAUACUAAUCUCCCUUGAGGUUAAUUAUCUCGUAACAUUUAGAUUCAAUCAAUAAUUAAAAAAUGAUAUUAGAAGAGAGAAAAUAAUAUGAUUUCAUCAUUGCCCUCUCGUCUAUUAUAUUAUUUAAUUAAUUUAAUACAACCCACACAUUAAAAAAAAUACAAAAAUUUGCUAUUUAUCGUUAGGAAUCAAAUCAUAUAUAGCAACAAAAUAUAGUAUACCAAUUUAUAUUUUUCACUUAAUACAAGAUCUAAAUUAUUUUUUUUAGUUACAUACCCAUUGUCAAAUAUGAUCAAUAAUAAAUAAUCAAAAAAAUUUGCAAUCAAAAUAUUUUACAGAACAAAAUUUAACAUUAUAAUAUUCUUGUCAAUAUAUUAAAAUUAGUUGUUGAGAUUUUUAUGAUAUUAAUGUUUGCUCUUUAUAAUAUUUUGAUUACAUAUUUUUUUAUUAUUUGUUAUUGAUCAUGUUUGACAAUGAGUUUGUAACUGAAAAAAUAAUUUGAAUCUUACAUUAAGUGAAAUAUGUAGAAUAAUAUGCUCUUUUUGAUGCCAUACAUGAUUUAAUCUUUCAUGAUAAAUAAUAAAUUCUAGUGUGUUAUUUAAUAUUUGGACUAGUAUUAGAUUAAUUAAAUAAUUUAGUAGACAGGGGGUAAUAGUGAUAUCAUAUUAUUUUUUUCUCCUAAUAUUACUUUUUAAUUAAUGAUUGAUUCUAGAUAUUACAACAUAAUAUUUCAUAAGGGAGGUCAGUAUAAAUUUCAAAAUUUUAAGAAAAGCCAGUGAAAUAUUCAGAAACCUCCUUUGAGGUUUCUGAAAUUAUCCCAUAAUAAAAUCGAGCGGGGGUGCAGCAUUGAUGUAGAAGUCAACCUAAGUUCUUAGGUCCGUUUUGGUUAUCAUAAAGAUAUUUGUUGCAAACACACAAGAAAUGUGUUUUCGAUGGUAUAUGAAACAAAUAAGGAGCAUAAAAUUCCAACAACCUAAACAUUGGAUGAGGACCAUUAAUGGAGAAAGAGAUGGAUAGCCACACGACCUCAACUUUAGGGCAUUUGGAUUUGGGGUAGGAAAAGUCAACAAAGAAAUCAUCCGGUCCGAUUUAUGAAUUUUGCAUAAGAUGUAAUUCAGUUUACACAUAAUAUAACUUAUUUUACACAACGUAUAACUAUAUAACAAAAUUUUAUGGGCCACACACAUAGUGUGAAAAAUGACGUAUAAGAUAAAAUUUAGACCUUUGUUGUAAAACUAAUAAAACAAACGACCAAAAGUAGGGAUCGGAAUAGUAGAGUGAGAAGCAAAGAGAGUCCAGAUUUCAAGGUUAUAAAUGAAGUAGGAUUCACCCCUAUAUAUAGGUGAUCCAAGAUCAAAGGUACAUGAACCCUAUUAAAUACAAAUACAUGAAUUUAGUACAUCAAGUACAUCCAUAAAUGAGUUCAUCCAAUAUACCAAUGAAUCUAGGGAGAAUACAUGUGCCAAUCAUCUAGAGAAUACAAACGGACAUCUUCAUCUUGUAAUCCUUCUUGAGAAUACCAAUGGACAUCCACAUCUUAUCAUUAUUUCAUAACACUCCCCCUUGGAUGUCCAUGACACAAAGAAUAUGUCUCGUUAAAACCUUACUAAGGAAAAAUCCAGUGGGAUAAAAACCCUAGUGAAGGAAAAAGAGUACACUAUUCUUGUGUAAUAAAUUCUCCCCCUGAUGCAAACAUUAUAUGAGAUCUUUUAGCCGACGCAUACCAAUAUUCUUCACCAGUUUCCCAAACAUAGCAGUCGGCAAAGCCUUGGUAAACAAAUCUGCCAAACUAUUAUCCGAUCGAAUUUGUAGCACGUCAAUCUCACCAUUCUUCAUUCCAAUGUCGUCUUGUAGUCGAGGAACUAAUGAUAUAUCUGGUCUUGUACAAUUAGUAAGAUAAUAAGCGCACCAAAUGCACUGAGAUAUGAUACUUCAGGACCAAGUAUCUCUUCAUGUUCCUCUGGUGGCCUAAAGGGAUCCUAAUAAGGAUCCAAUGAUCUGACGACCAUUGGGGUACUUAAUGUAUGUGUUUUAUUCAUACGGAACCGCUUUAAUACCUUCUGGGUAUAAGCAGUUUGGUGAACAAAAAUUCCACCUUCUAAAUGCUCAAUUUGUAAACCAAGACAGAAUUUUGUCUUUCCAAAAAUCUUUGAUCUCAAAUUCUUUCUUCAAAUAUUCGACAGUCUUUUGGAUCUCUUCAGGAGUUCCAAUUGAGAUCAUCAACAUAUAUUGUAAUAAUCACAAAAUUUGACCCAUUUUUCUUGAUAAAAACACAUGGACAUAUUGGGUCAUUGGUAUAACCUUCUUUAGUUAAGCAUUCAUUGAGGCGGUUAUACGACCAGAUUGUUUGAACCCAUACAAAGACUUUUGUAUUCUAAUAGAAUACACAUCUCUAGGAUUUGAUUUACAUGCUUCAGGCAUGUUGAAUCCUUCAGGGAUUCUCAUGUAAAUAUUAUUUUCAAGAUUCCCAUACAAAUAAGCAGUGACAACGUCCAUCAGACGCAUAUCAAGUUUUUCAUGCACUGCAAUACUCAUAAGAUAUCUAAAUGUGAUCGUAUCCACUACAGGUAAAUACGUUUCAUCAUAAUCAAAUCCAGGCCUUUGUGAAAAACCUUGGGCUACAAGCCUUGCUUUAUAUCUCACUAUUUCAUUCCUUUUCCUUACAAAAAUCCAUUUAUAUCCAACUGGCUUGACACCUUCAGGUGUUUGGACUACAGGUCCAAAAACAUUCCUUUUAGCCAGUGAAUCUAAUUCAAAUUGUAUCGGCUUUUUCAUUUUUGGCCAAUUAUUUCUAUGCCGACAUUCAUCAACCGAUCUAGAUUCAUGAUUCUCAUCAACUUCUAUAAUAUCAAGUGCUACAUUUCAUUAGGCUCCAAUUAACUUUUCUAUAAUUUCAUUCUCUUCAGGAGUUGGCUCUUCGGGAGCUGGCUCUUCAGGAGCGCCCUCUUCAGGAGGUUAAAUUUUGUUAUGACAUUUAUUUAAUCUCCGGAGAUAUUUGAAAUCAAUUUAUACCUUAUAUAGGUAGGCCGGCCUUUAUUUGUAGCACUUGUACAUGUCCUUCAGGGACGUCAAUUUUAAUAAGAGUGUUUCCUGCAGGAAGAAUUGAUUUGAUAACUCGUAUGGAGUCGAUAAAUAUAACUUUCUUCAAAUGAAGAAUUUCUUGAACUUCUAGUUCACAUUAUUUUAUAUGAGAAUCGAGGAAAUCUAAUUUUCAGAUGAUUUCCUUUCGGUUGAUCUUCCUCCCCCUAAUGUUGGGAUAGAUCACUCAUCAAUAGAUCAUUCAUCAAUAUGUAAUCAUAAAAGGUGAUGCAUAUCCGACAUCAAUUUCUUUUGGAGCCAUGUAUAAUAUAAAGGGGGUAUGUAUAAAUACUUGUCGACAUUCAAAUGCUCUCAUAUAUUCUUUGGGAUCAGUAAACUGCUGGUUUACUGCAGGUGAUGAUUAUAAAGCAAAUGAGAAUGAAGAUAACUAUAUCGAUAACCAUUUCACCCUCGAAUGAUUAAUAUGAUAUAAUCAACUUUUAUCUCACUUGAUUUUGAUUAUUAUCUCAUUCAGUGUCUCGGAUAAAUUUCUUUGUGACUUGGAAGAGAGUAGUGCAUGAUUUAUGACAAUUUUAAUUCCUUCAGGGAGAAAUAGAGUGGCUCUUCCGGAGCACUCAAUUAAUUUUGCACUAUCAUUGAUGGUAUUAACAUUUGUCUCUCCCAUCUCCAAAAAUAUCUUUUAUUUGUCAAUAUAGUGUGCGUAUAAGCACUAUUAACGAGACAUAUGUUAUCAUCACCAUAAUUUGAUCCCAAACAUUUGGCAUCCAUUUCUUCUUCAGGAAGAAAAUAAAUGAAACUAAAUAUUGAUAAAAGAUACAAGAAUAGACAUAUGCAAAGUAAAUAGAUAAAACUAACAACAUAUCAAACAACAUACCAAAGUAAUAGACAAUCCUGCAAAACUAACAACAUAUCAAACAUCUAGACAAAUAUUAAAUAUAUGAUCAUUUUGCAUCUUCAGGAUGCUCAAAGAAAUCGGCAAUAUCCAGGUGUGUCAUGUCAGCAUCAUCAUCAUCAUAAGCAUUCUUUUGGUCGAUAAAAUUUGUCUCGACAUCUUUGUCCUUCUUUUUCAAUGAUGCUUGAUAGAGGUCAACAAGAUGCUCAGCCGUACGACAGGUACGGGACCAGUGACCUUCCAUACCACACCGGUAGCAUUUUUCUUCAUAAAUUUUUUUUUCUUCUUCUUUCGGAUCGUAGUCAUUUUCUCUCUCUUGAGAAAUAUUUUGUUGCUUGUCAUGGUGAUAAUUUUCACGAGGCACAAAUCUACUACGAUCUCGUUUACGGCCACGACUACGUCUACGGUUACCUCUACGGUCACGUCCACGACCUCGACCAGAAUUUUGAAAUUGAGUCCCAUUCGCUUCAGGGAAUGGACUUGCAAUAGUUGGUCGGGACUCGUGAUUUUUCAACAAUAAUUCAUUAUUUUGUUCAGCCAAAAGGAGACAUGCAAUAAGUUCAGAAUAUUUCUUAAAUCCUUUCUCUUUAUAUUGCUGCUGCAGGAGCAUAUUAGAGACAUGAAAAGUAGAGAAUGUUUUCUCUAACAUAUUUUCAUCAGUGACUUUUUCGCCACACAAUGAUAGUUGAGAAGUAAUUCGGAACAUGGCUGAAUUUUAUUCGUUGACAGAUUUGAAAUCUUGUAGCCGUAAAUGAAGCCAGUCAUAUCGGGCCUUUGGAAGAACAACCAACUUCAAGUGGUCGAAUCUUUCUUUCAAAUCUAGCCAAAGAACAAGAGGAUCUUUGACAGUAAGAUACUCUACUUUUAGUCCUUCAUUUAAAUGACGACGAAGGAAAAUCAUGGCCUUAGCACGGUCUUGAUUUGAGGCAUCAUUCUUAUCAACAAUAGUAUUACCAAGACCCAUUGCCUCAAGAUGAAUGUCAACAUCCAAAACCCACGAUAAAUAAUUUUUUCCAGAAAUAUCAAGAGGUAUGAACUCUUGUUUUAUGAGAUUAGCCAUAAGACUAUGCAAUAGAUUCGUAGGAAAGAAUAUUACCUUGAUAAGUAGUCAAAAGUUGUUUGGGCAGAAUCUUGUCUCGUGCUUCACUUUUGCUUCGCGUCUUUCCUUCACUCAAAGUAGAGACUCGUGCUUUUCCUUAGCUCAAGGUAGAAACUCGUGCUGAUAACGUGUUGUAAAACUAAUAAAACAAACGACCAAAAGUAGGGAUCGGAAUAGUAGAGUGAGAAGCAAAGAGAGUCCAGAUUUCAAGGUUACAAAUGAAGUAGGAUUCAUCCCUAUAUAUAGGUGAUCCAAGAUCAAAGGUACAUGAACCCUAUUAAAUACAAAUACAUGAAUUUAGUACAUCAAGUACAUCCAUAAAUGAGUUCAUCCAAUAUACCAAUGAAUCUAGGGAGAAUACAUGUGCCAAUCAUCUAGAGAAUACAAACGGACAUCUUCAUCUUGUAAUCCUUCUUGAGAAUACCAAUGGACAUCCAUAUCUUAUCAUUAUUUCAUAACAACCUUAUAUAUUUUUUGCCCAAAUCUUGGCCAUUAACCUUUCAAAAUAGUUGCAGGAACUGUUCCUGCCGCAAAUCCAAGGCGUUUAGGAUUUGGGAUAGGAACGGUCAACAAAGAAACUGUAUGAAUCAGUUUUGUGCAUUUUACAUAAGAUGUAAUUCAGCUUGCAUAUAAUAUAUCUCACUUUGCACAAUGUGUAACUAUAGAACAAAAUUUUAUAAGUCUCACACAUGAUAUGAAAAAUAAUGUAUAAGAUCAAAUCUGAAUCUUAUAUAUAUAUUUUUUUGACAAAAUCUUGACCAUCAACCUUCCGGAACCGGGAGUUUACCAUCCGACAACAUGAUCAAGAGUCUUUAACAAGAGCCCCACAAGAAAUGGUCGUGAAUCAUUUUCCUCCUUAAUAAAAGGUCCUGGACGCAAAUCUAUUCUGGCAACAUUACCACAAAAAAUUGAUACUAUGAUCUCAGAACAGGCUUUGGCUUUCCUGACCUAAACAAUACAAUAUCCUUUUUAUAGGGUGUGUUUUGAUAUCAAAUUAUUUAGAAUAAUAUUUUUAAUAACAUUUUAAGCACAUUUUUCAAUUACUCUUUUUAUAUUUUUAAUUACCUCCUUACAUGACAUAUAUAAUAUCACAAAAAACAUUUUACAUGAUAAUUCUAAAAAAAAAUUCAAAUAAUCUUCAACCCAAAUUUGUUACUUUGGGACGAAUGGGAGGUGCUGAAGGCUAAGGCUUUAUUUGGAUUGCAUUUUUCUAAUUUUUUGUAGAAAAAUUAAUCUAGCGAUUUGAUAUAUAUAAAAUAAAAAAAAGUGAUUGAAAAAUGUGUUCAUGAAAAGUAUAGCAAUUUGUCUUUAAAAAAUUGCAAUCCAAACAUACCUUUAGUUACAGGCUUCAACAGUUUCAGGAUUGGUAGAGGUCCAAAAAACAAUGUUUUAAAAACCGGACCGUUAAUUGAAUCGGUAAAGUGAAAGGGUCGAGAUUCAACUGGUCCGAUCGGUUCAACCUUAGUUCAAUGAAUUUUUUAAAAAAUAAUUUAUAUAAAUAUAUAUGUACAAAAUAAGACAUGUAAUGGACUAAUUUAAUACUUUACAUGAUGAAAAGUUUACUAUUUUUGAAGAACUUGGAUUUUUAAAAAUAAUUUAUUUAUUUUUUAAUUAUAAGUUAAAACAAAUAAAUUUCAUCUCAAUUUCAAUUAUAUCUACCAAAAAAUCUUAAAUCCAACCAAAAAAUAUCACAAUAUUUUGAAAUUAUACAAAAUUCACGUCUAUGAGAAUUUAGACAUUGUGAACUUAAAUUUUAAUUUACGUUUUGAGAUUUAAAGAUUGCAAUUUAAAAAAGAAAGUUUGGAAUUCGAAAGAAGUCAAGAGAAUCGAAAAUAGAAAUGCAAACUUAAUAAGAAACAAAAAAUGAGAUAAAAGUAAGUGGUUGUGGCAUUAAAUAAUUUGGGUUAAAAAAAUAAUUCUUUUUUAACUUUUUUAAUUUAAUGGACAAAAAUAAAAUUAAAAGAUGUAAGAAAACAUCAAUAAAUUAAAAAUAAAGAUGUUUGAUUAAAAAGGGAGUGACAAAAGAAAAGAGGAUAGAGAGAAAGAGAACGAGAGAGAAAAAGAGAAAGAGAGAGUUGAAAAUUAAAAAGAAAGUACCAUGAGAGGAUGAGAUUUUAUAAGAAAAAUAAAAAAAAAUAUGAGUGUUUGUUUUAUAUAAAUAAAUUAUAAAAAAAUUAAUAAGAUAUAAUAGUGCAAAGGUUACUAUAUUGGUCUUCUAUUACAAAGGUAUGAGUUCGAAUCUUGAAACUACAUUUUUGCAAAACGUAAAAAAAAAAAAAAAAAAAAAAAUUGAAAAUCGGAAAAAACCGAUUCAAUCCGGUUUUACGAUUGAACCAAUUUUUUGACCGAUUUUAUAGCAUGAUCAAUCCUUACAUAGAAUCGGAUCGAUAUCAUGACCGAUUCGCGAUUCAAUCGAUCGAAUCGGCCGAUCCGGUCCGAUUUUUCAAAACAUUGCAAAAAAGAGGGUUACCCUAGCCUGAAACAUUCCGUCAGAGCUAUCUGCUCCUAAGUACAAAAAUAAUAAUAAAAAAGAAAAAGAACAACAGCAAAAACCCAAUUUAACUAUUUUGCAGUCUCUCUGUUUCAUUCUGUCAUUCGUUGCCCCAUUUAAGAUUUAACGAGGGCUGGCUCUGGAGCUGUAGAAAGCUCUGAAACUGUACACAUACACCUAGAAAAUGGAAGAAGGGUUGUUGGUGAAAGAGAGAGAAGUGAAGAGAGAAAGGCUGACAUGGGGUGUUAUAGGCCAAGAAGCGAAGAGACUUUGCUACAUAGCAGGACCUAUGGCGGCUGUGACUCUAUCCCAGUUCUUGCUCCAGAUGAUAUCUUUGAUGAUGGUUGGGCACUUGGGUGAACUUUCACUUUCUAGCUCCUCCAUAGCCAUUUCCUUUUGCAAUGUUACUGGCUUCAGCGUUCUUGUAAGUUCCUUCUCUUUUGUUCCUCUUCCAGGCUUUUACUGACGUUUUCUUGCAAGUAUUUUUAAGCUUUAGGAGAGACAUUGAAAACUUACAUGCGACCACUGUGUGACGUUCCUGUUUUGUUUUCUGUCACUGUAAAUGGCCAAAAAAGUCUCCAAACUUUUUGAAAUUCUUAACCCUUUUUCUGCCCAAAAAAAAAAAUCACUCAUCUUCUCAAAACCAGCCUUUUAGGUCAUUCCGACGAGUUUAGGUCUUAAUGUGACCGGAAACAAGUAAAUGACCUGUUAAUGUAGAUUGCUCAAAACAAUUGCUUUCUUCGGCUUCUUCUUAUAAGCAGUUUAUCUCACUUUUAGUACUCACAGCCUCUUUCUUCGGAGCAACGGCUUUUUUGGCUUCUUCUCACCAGCGACAACAAUGGCAAUAGUAGUCUUCACAGGAGCAGGCUGCUUGAACGAAUUAUUCACCUUAAAAAUAGUUUUUCCGAUGCCAGAUGCCUUUUCAACUAAACCGACAAAAGCAACUUGAAAUUUGCCAGCAACUUCUGCUUCUUUUUUUGAAAUUUUUGGACAAUCGUGUAGGGACCCGAUCUAGCUAUGCCUCCUUAAUUGCAAUAAUUGCCUCCUUAAUCAUCUGAAAAUCGGCCAUGGAUGAAAAUUGAAAUUCGCCAUUGCUGAAAUUGAAGAUCGAAAUUUGGAUCAGAUUCAAUCGCGACCUUGUUGCGACCAAAUUUGACAUGAAGGAGAUGGGUGGAAGUGCUGGAGUGGGAGAGGAAGAAGGAGGAGGGGUAGGGGGAAAAGGAGGGGAAGGGGUCCCAGUGGAGAUGGGGACGGGAGUGACGGUGGAGGAGGGGGUAGAAUGGGAAGAGAGAGAGAGAGAGAGAGAGGGAGAGAGGUUGCGGUUGUGGGAGAGUACGGCGGUGGAGGUUGGGAGGGGAGUGACGGUGAAGGAGGGGAUGUUGGGUUGGGUGCCGGGAAGGUGGUGGCGGAGGAAGGAGAGGUGGUGGUGUUGGUUUGGUUCUUCGGGUUUAAUUACAUUUAGCUCCUUUUAGCUUGAUCAAAAUACAAAUUAGUCUUGAAGUUUGAGGUGUUUUUGUGAAAAAGUUCAGGUAAUUAUUUUUAGACAUUUUUGUACUUGAAAAUCUACACUAACUGGAUUAAACUCGCCGAAAUAAUCCAACAGGCUCAUUUUAAAGAGAUGAGUGACUUUUUUGGCAAAAAAAAAAAGUUUUAGUGAUCAAACGGUGCAAUUUUAAGUAGUUUGGUGACAAUUUUUGUCAUUUACUCUUUGUCUGCUUCAUCAACUUUAGUGGAGGAAGAAGCGAAUCGAUGUUAUCAAAUCGUCCUGAAAUUGAACUCUUCAGAUUGUACGCACAGAAGUCUUGACAAAAUCUGACUCGUAUGGAUAAAAUCCAGUUUCCAACCUUGCCAUCAAGAUUUGACUUCAUAAUCAUGAACUUCUUUGUUUUCUUCGUUCCUCUGAGAUUUUGCUAUGAUAUUUAAUGUUCUAAUGUUUGUGUGAUCAAUGAUCAGUGAAAGAUUAUGUUUGAUUUUUCUACCAUACUACAAUGAAUGUCUCUAUCAAAAUUAAUAAGACAUUGUUUUUCCUCGCUGAUAAUUAAUGCAGACAUGAAUAGGAGGAAAGGCAGAAAAGUUUUGAGUACGGCCAUUUAUUAUACUCUGCAAUUGCCUCUGCCAACUGCUAAGGUUCUUGAUUAAUUUUUACUUUGGGUAACAUAUAUAUUUUUUGUUUCUUUUUCAUUUUGUUCGUUUCUUGUGGAGGAGGGGGGGGAGGAUGCCUCAAGAAUUUUGAACUCAUUGACAGAGGUUAUGGAAAAUUCAAUCAUUCCUAAUUCGAGUGUCACCAAAGGAAAUAUUUCUGUCAUGCUGCUAAUAAGGACAAAAGCUGGACCUCCAUUAGUACAGCAGAGGGUCCAGAAGACAAAACUUCAACUGAAGAUAUAUUUUGUUUCCAUAGCAUGAGCCAAAGAGCUUUGCUCAAGCUGAUGUCUUUGUCGUUCAUUAAUUUAUUUCUUGGCAAAGGUCCAACAAUGACCAAAGCCUUUAAGGAACGGGAAUUGUCAAAUUUAGCGUCUCAUAGAUAGGGACCACGAGAUAUCAGGAAUUACACAUGUCCCUCAUAAUCCAAAUUCCAAAGGAUUUUUGAUAAGAUGGAAGGACCACGAUAUGCUGUAAGUAAAAAGGAAGUAGAGAAAAUUGAAAAAAGAAAAUUUCCCUUUGAUUCUUCUUCUUCAUUUUCAUUUUCUGCUGGAGGAUGGGUUUUUGUCACUACAAUCUGACUUUCAGUGACAACACGAUGAGCACAUGGUUAACUUUUGAAUUUUGAUUCCGUCAUGUGUACUAUGAGAUUAAGAUGUAAGAGCAUGAAUUUCCAAUUUGGAAAUGGAAAUUCAACGAAACAAUAAUAUAAUUUUCCUACCUACCUGAGAGAGCUCCUUGGUCACAAGAAAGAGUUACAAGGACUAGUGCUAAAAUCUUGUAAGUGAUAAUGGAAGAGUUACAGGAAAGAGUAACAGGUAACAUGUAAGUCAUAAUGGAAGAUGCAAAAUUAUCAAGACUAGUGCUACCAUCUUGUAUGUGAUCUGAAGUAUUCAGGUCUUGGUAAAGAUUUUAGUUCAAGUACACAUGAAUAUUUUUCAUUAAAAGACAAGAAUGUGUACGAAAUGACUAGGGGUAAUUUCUGAUUUACAUGCAUAUACUGAGGAAGAUAAAGUCUUGAAAUGGUUCUAAUCAGAAGUGGACUAUUUAUGUGUCAAACAGUUAGGAAUGGCAAGUGCACUGGAAACUCUGUGUGGGCAAGCCUAUGGAGCUCAGCAAUAUAAAAAACUUGGAACUCUGACAUAUACAGCGAUAUUUUGUCUUCUCAUUGCUUGUAUCCCACUCUCAAUCAUAUGGAUAUACUUGGGACGGAUACUCAUUUUGGUUGGACAAGAUCCUCUGAUUUCACAAGAAGCUGGAACAUUUGCUACAUGGCUUAUUCCUGCUCUGUUUGGCUAUGCAACUCUUCAGCCACUUAUUCGAUUCUUUCAAAUGCAAAGUCUGACCUUUCCCAUGUUCAUAAUUUCCUGCAUCACAAUUGUUUUCCACACACUUCUUUCUUGGGUGCUUGUCUAUAAGUCUGGAUUGCAGAACCAUGGAGCUGCAUUAGCUAUGGACGUUUCAAUGUGGUUCAAUGUUAUUAUCCUUGGUUUGUACAUGAGCUACUGUUCCUCCUGUGCACAAACCCGUGCUCCAAUUUCAAUGGAGAUGUUUCAUGGCGUGAAAGAAUUUUUCCGCUUUGCUAUUCCUUCUGCUGUCAUGAUUUGGUAAUCUCUAGAUAUGUUGCUAAUUUUCUUUUUCUGGCCUUAAAAAUGAAACAUCUUGAGGUUCUAAAGGAUGUUGCGUGUAUGCAUGAUUUCCAGCCUUGAAUGGUGGUCAUAUGAGCUUCUGAUUUUGUCAUCUGGCCUUCUGCCAAAUCCGGAGCUUGAAACUUCAGUCCUGUCUGUAUGGUAUGUUCUGUGUAAGCCUCCUGGAAGCUACAAAUUGAGGGACGAAUAAAUGAAUCUUCACGGGAGAAUCUAACGUUUUGUUUUAAUUUUCUGAACAGCCUCAGUACCAUUUCGACACUCUAUUCAAUACCAUAUGGACUUGCUUCUGCUGUAAGGUAUGUUGAAGACAAAGUGAAUAUCCACUCGUACCUCAUGAUCUGUCGAUGACAAGAAGACAUCCGGAUAUUAACUUUUCCUCCUGUUUUUCUUCAGCACCAGAGUGUCAAAUGAGUUAGGAGCAGGAAACUCAGAAGGCGCUCGAAUUUCUGUAAUUUGUGCCGUAAUCCUUGCCUUCACAGAGAUGAUAAUAGUGAAUACAGCCCUUUUUGCUAGCCGGCACGUAUUUGGCUAUGGCUUUAGCAGUGACAAGGAAGUUGUGGAUUAUGUCACAAUUAUGGCUCCUCUUGUUUGUCUAUCUGUUGUAAUGGACAGUUUCCAAGGAACCCUUUCAGGUUAAUUCUUGAACUCCUUUCUUUUGCUUAAUUUCUUUUUAUUGUUGUAUCAGAAGGAACAGGUAAGAGGGGGGCUAGGUUGGACUGCUGCCUUAUAAUGCAACUAAAAUUUUCAGGUGUUGCUAGAGGAUGUGGCUGGCAGCAUAUAGGAGCCUAUGUCAAUCUUGCAUCAUUCUAUCUAGUUGGAAUUCCUAUUGCUCUUGCAUUAGGAUUUGUCGCAAAGUUAAAAGGGAAAGGUCUAUGGAUUGGAAUCCUAUCCGGUGCUACUGUGCAAACUCUACUGCUAUCCAUAGUAACAGCUUGCACAAAUUGGGAAAAACAGGUCUGCUAUCUGGCUUUUUUCUUAAUUCCAUUGAGCUGCUUCCAUUUGAAAUCCGUAAACUGUUUAUUUGUCUUCAUUAACUCGGAAGCCUUCAAUAUCUUAUUGUGCAGGCAAUAAAGGCGAAAGAGAGGCUGUUCCAGGAAAAAAUUCCGGCUGAAGAUGGACCAAUUUGAUGACAGGAUAUCUACUCCUGCUAAUUGAGAAUAGGUUUAUCUGGACCAUGGUACCGUUACUAUUUAAGGGUAAUUUUUGUUAGGAAUAAUGACUCGGUAGAAGUGUUGAGACAAAAUUAUCAAGCAGUUCAUGCAGGGACUGUCAUUAAGGUUUGCCAUUUGAAAUAAGGGAGUCCGAACAUAAGCUUCUCCAUCUUGCGUUUCCAGUGUACUUCCCAUUCCUUACUGUCAAAAUAUUGUUAUUAGAACAUGAGAAACUACAGCUGGGAAGAUUUGGACAGCAAGGGCACAAAAAUCUUAGCCCACAAAUGGGGACCCCAAAAAAAAAAAAAAAAAAAAAAAAGCACAAAUUACUCAUAUUCCCUGUAUAUUUGUAUAAUAUUACAUGAGCCCCUUAAGGUUUGAAAAUGGGUUACCUCUUGUGAUUUUAUAUAAAAUGAAAAUGGUUUUAGAUGGAAAGCAUCUUCAGUAACGGCAAUUGGCCGAGACAUGCUCCAGGAGCGUGUGUGGUGAAAUUAUGAUAUCUAUUCCUAUCAUUUCAUAUAAAUAUCUAAUCAGCCCCUUGUAAUUUUGUAUCUAUCAACAUAAUUCCUCUGUAAUUUUAUGUAAAGUGGUUAGUCCCUUAUUUAAUUUAGUAUUUAAAUAAUCCUUCUAUCAUUUUUCACUUUACAUGAAACUAUUUGAGGGAUUAUUUAAAAAAAAAAUUACUAAAUAUUAGUCGGAUCUAGCCGACAAAUGGGGGGAAAACCAAAAAAAAAAAGGUAUAAAUUACUCAUAUUCCCCUAUACAUUUGUACAAUACCAGAUGAAAGUUACCCUCCUAUGGUUUCAUAUAAAAUGAAAGUUAGAUGGAAAGCAUCUCCAUUAAGGGGCUAAUGGUGUUGACGGAGACAUGCUCAAAAAGCGUGUGUGAUGAAAUUAUGGUGUCUAAUUUAAUCCUCCUAUCUUUUUUUUUUAUAGAAAUAUCUAAUCAACCCCUUGUAAUUUUGUAUCUAUCAACAUAAUUUCCUUAUAAUUUUAUGUAAAGUAGUUAAACCCUUAUUUAAUUUAGUAUCUAAAUAAGGGCAAUAUUGAUAUGUCUACUAAUGACAAUACAAAGACUAUUUUUUUCUCUUUAUGUGAAACUAUUGAGGGAUUAUUUAAAACACAAAAUAAAAAGAAAAACAAUGACCGAAUCUUAGUCGGAUUUAACUACUAGGUAAAAUAUAGAAAAACCCCUUGAGAUUAAGUGAAUAUACAAAAAAAGCCCCUUAUAGUUUCAAAACACACAUUUCUAUACCUCAUAGUUUGAACUAAUUUAAAAAAGUGAUGGAAAUCGUUUGAAUAAACGGGUUUGAAAUACACGCACUUCUUUUGAGAGUAUUUGUAUUGGAAAUAAAUAAAUUUUUAGUUGAUACACCUAUUAUACCCUUAGAAUUAUAAUACAGCAAAAGCCCUUUGUGGUUAAGCAAACAUAUAGAAAAAAGUCUCUUAUGAUUUCAAAUCAUAUAAUCCAGUAUCUUGUGGUUUGAACUAACUUGGAAAAAUUAAUAAAAAUCAUUUAAAUUAAUGAGUUUGAGGUUGCGUGACAUGGAAAAUAAUUUUUUAAAUCAAAAUUUUAGCUGAUGUACCUAUUAAACCCCUUAGACUUUAUAAAUUUUCCAAAAACAACCCAAAACUCUCAAAUACAACUCUCCUUAUUUUUAUAUACAAAAUAAAUAAAUAAAAAUUUUCAAAUAAAACUCACCUUUUUCCUAUGCACAAAAUAUAUAAAUAAAAGCAACAUUUAACUAUAAGGGGUCUUUCUGUAGGUUGGCUUAACCACAAGAAAUUUUUUUCAUAAGUUUGCUUAAUAGGAUCGUUAUUAGAAGGUUAGUUUUGACGAUUUUCGUUACUGUUUCAAAUUAAUUCAAAUCAUGAGAUGUCAAAAUAUAUGAUUUAAAAUCACAAGAGACUUUUCCGCAAGUUUACUUAAUCUGGGAGAACUUUUUUGUAUUUUAUCCUUUAAGUAUUGCACGUACUAUACGCUACAAGAUAUCAUAGCAACGAGAGCAGGUGAAUUCAUACGUCAGUUUUGGGCCUUUUUUGCUGGACAUGCCACUUUUCUUUUCGGCUGGUUCAACCGUACGAAAACCUAGAAUUGUCGUUUCAUUUGUCAAGAAUUGAUAACCGUGACCCAGUGAGGAUGUUUUUCAAAGCCAGAGCUUGAGAGUUGCAUUUGUUAGUGUCUGAAGCAACUUUUCUUGUCACAGACAAAACAUAUCAUUAAAAAGAUGGGGUAAUUUCGGAAAUCUCCCUUGAGGUUUGAAAAACCUCACUAACCUCCUCUAGCAGAAUUUUGGUGCCUAUUGCUCUAUGCUAACACUUUAGAGUUUAUUACAAACUUUGUUUGGGGGAAAAAAAUAUUUGUAGUAAUUAAAAGAAAAAAACUAAAUAAAUGAGAAUUUUAUUAAGUUUCAGAGCACAAGCGCACAACUGAUAUUGACAAGAUGUUCUUUAAUCUAUGGGUGGAAAAAAUUAUUAGGGCACGUUAGUUUUUCAAACUUGAUAAUGAGUUGGAGUUGGAUUUUGGGCCACAUAAGUUUUUCAAACUUGAUAAUGUAAGGUUUGAACGUUGAUCUUCCAUCCCACUAAACCUUACAGGUUUUGAUGAUGGCCACUGAACCAAACUUUGUAGUUAUAUCAAACUCUUUAUCAUUUGACCGAAUAAUUGUUAUUAUGAUUCUCAACAGUGUCCUUGUAGCAGUCAAAACUAGGAAGCAAGGUAAACUGAAAAAAGAGGAUGAAAGGAGACUUGGAGUUGGAAUUUGGACCUUCCUGUCCCAAAUUUCAACCGAAGUUUUCAGGAUUUCUUUGGUCAUAAAAAUUUCUAACAUUUAGAGAAUUUUGAAUUUGGAACUUAAUGACAAUUAUAAUGUCAUGAAACAAAAUUGAUAAUCAAGUGAACAUGUCAGCAAUUUUUUUUCCCUUUUCUUUUAAAGGGUUUAUGACCUGCUAAAUAAAUGUAAUGUUUUCUAAUGUUGGAGAUGAAAGGAAAAGACAAAAGGUCAAAGGAGUGAAAGAAGAAAAAAAAAAUAACAAAGAAAGAUUUAAAAAACCAAAAGAUUCAAAUACUGCAUUCCAUUGUAUUUUUGUCUCACAAGAUCACAUGAAAUCCAACUUUUAGAAAAAUUACAAAAGAGAGUAGAACUGAGGUUAUAAAAGAUUGAAGAACACACUAAGGGAGAGUUCCAACUGAAUUAUCAAGUUUGAACAACUUAUGUGGCCCAAUAAUUUGUUGCACCUAUGGAUUAAACAAAAAAAUCUUGUCUAAAUCAAUGAUGGAAUAAAAUUAAAGGAAAUAAGCAAAAGGGCAUUUGUGAAAUAAAAUUAUCAUCUUGCUCAUCAAAUUACUUUUUGAAUUGUACUUUUUCUGACCUGAACUGAUUCGUUACCAAAAAUUGAAAAGCAAUGGAGGUUAGUGAAAAUUUUCAAAUCUCAGGAAAGGUCAGUGCAAAUAUCAUAAAACACUGAAGUUAUCUCGAAAACAAUUUGAGUAUUGCUACUUGUCUCUGGCACUACGAUUGCAGAAGCUGUCAGUAUAAGGAUUGCCUUGGAUAGGAUCAGAGAACUGUUUCUUUAGUACUGGAUUCUAUCCCAUCUCCACAAAAGAGUAAAGCGUUUGUGCAUUUUGAUAUGGAUAGUCAAGCGAACGGCAAAUUUUGACUUUACCAUCAAAAAGUAGAGAUUGAUGAGACUCUUUAAGUUUCCUACAAAUGACAAUAAAUCCACAUAACAUAAUAAGACAGACAGGAAAUGGCUCGUCCCUGCUUGGUUUAGUUCUCAUGAUUUGGAGGACUUCUGGGAUGUUUGAGUUUGGACCUGUAAAAUGGGCGGCGGCCUUUGUAGACAUAGAGAAAAAUGGAGGAGGCAUUUUACUGGAGGAGGGAAAGAAGAUAGAGAGACCAUCGCGGGGGAAAUGUGGCAGAAGGUGAAGAAGCUAGGAUAUUUAGCAGGACCUUUGGUGGCUGUGGCUAGAGGUGUCAAAAAAAAUCCAUUUACCUAAAUCUACUCAUAUCCAUUCACAAAUAGCUAAAUAUGGAUAUUUUAAAUUUUUAUAUAUGAGUAUAAAUGGAUUAUUCAUUUAUUAAAUGGAUAUAAUUAGAUAAUCUGUCAAACUCAAUUAAACCCAUUUAAACCUCUCCAUCGCCACUUACAAUUCAUGACAGAAACCCGAUGCAUUCAAGCUAUAUCUGCCGGAAGGACACCAAGAUUAUUGAAUUCAUUGCUAGAAAAUUUCAUGCAUUAAUAUUGGUGAACUCUUGUAUGCAGUGGAACGUUUGAUUUUUCAACCUUAACAAAUAUUUGAUGCAUUUUUUAUGCAAAUAGAUAUCCUACUUAUUUUUUUUUUCAGAUUAUUCAUUUCGUCAUGAUGCUAACUACUUUUAUUUCGUUUAUUAUUAUAUGUUGAUUUUAUCUUAUCAUUGUAUUGUCUCGUAAUUUGUUAACUUGCUUAUUUUUCGGCAUUACCAAUUUAUGACAAGUUUUAGCCUCCUUUCCUACCUUUCCAAAAUGAAAAUUUAAAUUUAUGCAAGAAAAAAAAUGCCAGGGGUUCCAAGUUUUUGGAUUAAGUUUUUAUUUUAACUUUCAUAUUAUUUAGUUCACAUUUUUAUAUUCCUAUUAUUUAAUUAUUAAAUAGUAUGUAAUUUUGCAACAUAGCACAUGGAUAGGAAAAAUCAAUAAUUAGACUUAUUGGACAUUAUAAGUAAAUAUUUAAAAUUGGAUAUUAUGAGUUUGGAAAAAGUUAAAAUAAAUGGGUUGUAAAUAGGUAAUUGGGUUAUUCAACUCAUUUUUUGAUUUACCCAUUUAUACCUAUCUAAUUAAAUGAUAUAAAUAAAUUUACUCACUUGUACCCAUUACCUAUUUUUACCCGUCCAAACCCAUUUUGACACCUUUAGCUGUGACCUAAUCACCAUACUCUUUUUUUUUUCCCGGGGGAAACGUUAAACCUUAUCACCUUUCUCGUUGCAGGGUGUUAUCACUUCUGAUGGUUGGUCACUAGCGUCAACUUGAAUUGCCUAGCGGUGCGAUGGCCAUCUCUCUUUGUGGUGUCACUGGCUUCAGUUUUCUUGUCGCCUGCUCUAUCUUGAAUUUCUUGAUUGCAAUUUGACAUGGAUACCUUGUCAUUGUGCUCGUUUAUUAUCAAGAGAAAUGCAUGUGAAGAUAUUAAGCCUUGCACAUUGACAAAGACCCUGCUAUACUUCUAGCGUUAAAUCAAGCAAACAUUUCCAGCUAUGUUGUACAAGCACUUGAGACACUGUACGUAUUAUUGGCCUCUAAGGCUGUUUUCUGGAAAUGGUUGUGGUUACUGUUCUAUAUUAUGUGUUCCAGAGUUGAUGUAAUAUUGCAGUAGCAUAAAAAAGCUCGAAGACAUGACAUUUUCAACCAAUUAAUAGCAUUUAUAUGACAACGAAGUACUACUGCCAAUAUCAGAACAAGUGUCUGAACACCAGAGCUCCCUCAAGGUUGAUGUAAUAUCGCAGUAGCAUAAAACAGCUCGAACAAGACGUAACGGGAGACAUGACAUUUUCAACCUAUCAAUAGCAUUUAGUACUACUGCCAAUAUUAGACAAGUGUCUGAAUACUAAAGCUACCUCCUAGAAACUUAGUCAUACACAUCAUAUCAAAUUAUUUUGACACAUAAUGAUUAGAAAUAUUGGAGAAAAUUUGAGUUUCAAAACAACUAAAAUUGAAAAUAUUAUUUGCACUCUCAUUUUUGUUAAUCAAAUGUCUUAUAUCAUUUUCAUCAUAUAUAUUUUUUAUUUAUUUGGCUAUAUAAUAAAAUAAAUAGUGCAAAUAAAAUUAACAAAAUAUGGAGUGUAAAUAACAUUUCUCUCAAAAUUUGUUGUGAGGACAAAUUCGAUCCAUGAAUUCAGUCUCUCAUAUUUAUUGUGAUUUGGAUAAAGAUUUUUAAACCAGUAUUAUGAUAAUGCCCAAAAAAGAGAGGGGCCUAAUGCAGUAUAAGUGCAUUGUAGGAUUAAUAACAGCAUAACUUUAGUUGUAAUUAAACCAAAAGCAGCAUAAUGCUUCCAAUACUUUAAUAAUGAGAAAAAGUUUAGAAAUCCACUGAGAUCCCGUGCAAUCAUUAACAUCAAUAAAUUUUACUACAAACUUGCACAUUUUUCUUUCUUUUUGUGAAAAGAAGCUAGUUAAUCUAUUUAAAUCCUACCUAAAGGAGGUGAGAAUAUUAUCCUGUAACUCCAUAAUAUAAAUAGCAAGUUUAGAUAAAAAUAUGAAUUGCUACUGCAGAGGCCUCGUACUGGGCCUAGACACGUGGCAGCCCAGGUAAAGCCGAGCUGGGCUCCGGCCCCAGACUCCUGGCGACCGCCCUGGGCCGCACCCCCGCUAGGGCUCCAGUGGGAUCAGGAGACCGUCCCGCAGAGGUCGGAAUCCCGCUCGGCGCGGGAUUGAGAUUAUAUCAGGAAGGUCUCGGAACGUACGGAGGUCGGACUCUGGCCCAGGUAUAAAUAGUGCUACACACCCAUUGCCCAAGGUACGCUCACCAUUGACAACUUACUCCGGACAGUUACUACUUCCCGUGAAACUCGCUCACCGGAAAACUAACUUGGCCGUCGGAGCGCCCUCGGGGACAACCCUCGGGCCCCCUUUGUUAGCUCCUCUUCUCUGUUUUGCAGGUCUUGGAUCAGCUCUCCCAUCGACACCCCGAGCUGAUCAGGUCAGCUCUCCUAGGGGAAGUUCCGUGCCUCUUCAGUUGGCGCCGUCUGUGGGAAACGCAAGGUAAUUAUCGUUGUGUUGAUGGCAAGAACACGAUCCAAGCGAACCAUUGAGAGCACCGGCCCGAGAGCCGGCGAGGGAUCCUGACGGGCGGAGACCGAGGCGGCCCGGGGCGCGGGGGGCUCGGAGAGCGGAGAGGACGGAAAAACCCCCCAUGAGGUCCGCAAACGGCUUGAAAUUGCGAAAUUUGAGAGUGCGAUACUCGACCCCAAGAGGUCGGCACGCCUGUUAAAGACGGGGGGCUUGACGCUCAACCCAAGAGAUCGGCAUGACCGUCUUGAAGGUGUGAUGCUCGACCCCAAGAGGUCGGCACGCCGUGACUUACUUUGAGGCAGCUUGUCAAAACCAGGGAGCACGCUGGCUCGGCCCAGGAGGUCGGCACGAUUGCCCUGAGAAUGUAAUGCUCGACCCAGGAGGUCGGCAUGACUGCCUGGAAAAUAUGAUGCUCGACCCCAAGAGGUCGGCACCUCUGCUAAAAUCAGGGAGUUCAAUGCUCGACCCAGGAGGUCGGCAUAACUGACUUGGAAAUGUGAUGCUCGACCCCAAGAGGUCGGCACGUCUGCUAAAAUCAGGGAGCUCAACGCUCGACCCAGGAGGUCGGCAUAACUGCCUUGAAAAUGUGAUGCUCGACCCCAAGAGGUUGGCAUAUCCGCUAAAAUCAGAGUUCGACGCUCGACCCUGGAGGUCGGCGUGAUUGCAUUCAAAGUAUGAUGCUCGGCCACAAGAGGUCGGCACGGCUUGAAAUUUUGAAGUCGGAAAGUGCGAUGUUCGGCCCCAAGAGGUCGGCACGUUGUGCCUUAACUUGAAUGGGUUUGUUUGACCCAAGAGGUCGGCAAGGCUCAAAACUUUAAAAAGUCGGGGGCUUAAACCAUGUCAGUGGCAAUUUGAUGCUCGGUCCCAUGAGGUCGGCACGCAUUGAUCAAGUUUGUCGAAACUUGGGAGUUUGACGCUCGACCCAGGAGAUCGGCGCGGUUUUCUCAGUGACAGCACUGUACCAGAGGUGACCAGGGCAGAGCAGUGCGCGACGCUGGUCUCCCACGUGGCAGAGUAUAGAUUAGGUCUGCCUGGAAGCCUUACCUAAUCUAGGGGGCUAGUGCAGAGACCCCGUACU
rnacentral:lncRNA from 1 species